rnacentral:lncRNA from 1 species
UUUUGCCUGGUUGGAUGCAUAUCCUCCCAUCGUUAUUGUCCUCAAACAAAUGUCAUGAGAACUAAGAAAAUCCUUGUGCUUAUUACGCCAAUGAUUGGUUAUAUGUUUUUCUCCAUGUGGUUCUUCCUAAGUAGACAUGAAGAUUGAAAACAGUUAAGGUCUGAAAAAAGAGUAUGUCGAAAGAAUGACAGCUGAACAGUUAAUUCUAGUACAAUAUAUACGGGCUUUCAAUGUGCAUGAAAUCAUCACCUCUAUGUAUAAAUUCUCCAGAGAUCAAAAGCAUCGCAGCAAGCCAAUAAUUAUGUCCAGAUCAAAACUAUACAUUCUGAUAUAUAUGAUCUUGACAGAAUCUAGCAGCAUUGAUAGGCUAUCAAUGGACGAACUCUUCAUUGAGCAUAUAACAUAAUAUUAGUACCCAAAGUGUACUCCAAGAUGAUAUAAAACUUAUGCGCACAAAUGAAAAAUGCAGCAUAUGAUUACAGAUGUGUAGAUGAUAAUAUACGGUACCUGAAAAGGUGAGGAGCCAAACACCAACUCCUUGUGAUUAUUAAACGGGUCACGAAUUACACCCAAGGUCUCCAGUUUGGGCGCAGAGACGACAGUUAUUUCUGAAGGUGUAUAACAAUUAUCAAGGAGCAACCUUUAAAGUGAAGGGGCAUCUUCGAUGAUGAGCUGUUGUCCUUCAAAACAAAUUCCAAUGCUUUUAAGGUGAGGGGACUUUAUUUGGAGACAACUGAUACCGUUUUCUAUUCCCAAAACAAUCAGCAAGCGCUCCAGGGCAGGGCAACUAGAGUGGAUGAUGAUGUGCAGUGAGGCCUCCGACAGAUAAACCACCACAAGCGAAAGUUUUUGUAGGAAUGGGAGUCGAAGCAUUUGUACCAGAUCGUCUGGUAGAUGGCACCGGGCGAAGGUGGCGGUGUGGAGAGAGGAGGAAAACCGCGAGAUGGACAAUGGUGGUGUGGGCACGAAUUCUUGGUAUGUUCGUGGUAUGAAACUUUCGUGGUAAUGGUAGAACUCAAACUGCUGGAGUUUUCCGAAUUCAGGGGAUGUCAGCCAAGCGUCCACCUUGCCGGGUAUGGACAGCAGGUAGCUUAUCGGGAUGCAAAGGCAUUGAACGGGGCCCUGCUGGUGAGAAGAGACGAUGGCUCUGAUGAGAUCAAAUUCAGGAAGGACAGAUAUCUGACGACAGUCGAGAUUGAGGGGCGCGGUGCGCCAUAGAGGGCGCCACCGAGUUGAGAGGACUUGUGUGCGGCAGCAAUCCUUGGUGGGGAGAAGCAAGAUGAUCUCCUCAAGGAUGACGUCCGGGAGAUCGCUGAUGUGGUCCAUUGGAGAUUCUACCGGUUCCUCAGAUCCGGGUGGGGGGGCUCACCGCUUCUCCCCGCGCUACCAGGUGCGGGAUCUACAACCGGCAUCGCCGCUGGCGGGAGCCUCAUCUUCUUGGCGCUGGGGCCAGCUGACUCCAUUUUCCUUGUGGGCGUCGCGCUGAGCUCACGGGUUUGAGCAGAGUAGCCAGAGACGAGCCUAGUGGCAGUGCGAGUGGGUAAGAAGGAGGGCUGGGGAUUUCUGUAGGAGUGGAAGAAGAGGAGCAGGCGUUUUCUGUACGAGUGAGGAAGAAGGUGAUCGGGGUUUCCUGGACGAGUGAGGAAGAUUGGGGAGCGGGGGGAAUUGGGUGGGGAGACGAAAGCGGGAGAGCGAGUUGUUCGUGCUUAUAAGGCCCGCUGCACUAACUACUCGCUGUUUCCCAAGAACCUCUCUCUUCUUUUGCCUUGCUGCAUGACUGGCCAUGCAUGCAGGAUGCAUGUGCCCGCCGGCCACUACAUGCGCCUGGUUUGUUACUUGGCCUAUUUAAUAGGGUGGUUAUGGAGUAAAUUAAGGAGAUUUAUUUUCUCUGUGUGCAUCCACCAAAUUAGAGCAUGCGGUACUGGAUGCAUACACUCACAUUAAACUAACAUUUAGAAGAACAAAAGUUCAACAUGUCUAUGCAUCUCAAUGAUUCACCAUACUAUAACCAAUAUACAAAAAUGUGAGAAGGUGUGGAAAUAAAGAAAAUCGGUUGAUGCUUCUCUGAGCAAAGGGCCUCCCUGCACACGCAUUAAUUUUUCCUGGGCAUGCUUGUUUCUUCUCAAUGUUGCGAGCACUUUAAGCAUGUUGGCAACUCCACAGCUAGCUAGCUGCCUCAUCUUGCAAUUGAUGCUGACACAUUUGCAACAAACACAUGAGGCAAUAGAGAUGACUCAACAUGGGUCCAUAUUGUGCAGUUCCCCUGAUAUCAUAUUCAUUGUCCUGAAUCUGAAAAGAUAGGAAAAUAGUAGCUAUACUUAAACGGUGUUGCAAAAUAGUAGCACAUAUCAAUAGCUCGGCAUGACAAAACACGAUCAUCUGGACGAAGGGGAUACUGACCUGCCUGAGGAAGAUUACAUAUAAUUUCAUAAUUCCUUGGUUGAUUUCCACCUUCGGCUGCACUGCUUGUUUGCUCCUCCACACAUGACAGGAUCGUUCCGCACUGCAUUCAGCAAGUCAACGUUCAAAUAAGCUAAUUUCAUCUUGCGGUGGUCAUUGUACCUAGUUACGAAUGUAGGAAUACCUGGAGCACCAUGAGGUUAGCUGACAGCAGGUAGAUGCAGCCAUAUAAAUUUUGUGCGGUGCUACAAAAAUUGAGGUUUGUAUCCCUUCCCGUUAUGAGAAUUCUUCUUGAAGUUGGUAGAAUGUGACGGCUUGUUCUUUGCAUCAAACUUGCCUUUCCCCUGAGAUUUGUUCUCGUUUUUUUGGGGCUGGUUGGGCUGGAAGUUCUUCUUGUGUACCAUGUGGGCACUAGAAGCUCCCUCGGCGACCCGAGCACGUGUGUCUUUUGCUCUCGCCUUCUCCUCAAAAUCAAGAGUGCUAAUGAGAUCCAAAACAGAAAACUCAUGUCUCUUGUUUUUCAGAGAAGUAGCAAAAUCGUUCCACGAAGGUGGAAGCUUGGCAAUGAUGGUCCCAGCAAAAAAUUUGUCCAGCAACACACACUUAAAGUACUCAAGUUCCUUAGAGAGUGAUUGUAUCUCAUGAGUCUGCUGAACAACAGAGUGCUCAUCAGUCAUCUUGUAGUCACAGAAUUGCUCCAUGACGUACAACUCGUUGCCACAGCCCGAGGGCCCAAACGUGGCCUCGAGCGCAGCCCACAUGUCUUUGUCGCUGUUAAACAACAUAUACGAAUCCACAAUGGAAUCGUCAAAGAACACUCAGCAGGGCGGCUUUGAAGAGGGUAUCCAUGUUCUGAAAAGCUUCCUGCUGUGUAGGAUUAAGAUCGCCCUCAGGCUUACCCUUAGUGGCGUCAUAGCAGUACAUGAUCUGAAACAAAUAUACUGCUCUUGUGCGCCACCUUUUAUAUUGCACCCCCUUAAAAGUAGGCGGCUUCAAAAGCGCAGCAAAACCACUCGGAGUAAAUUGCAUGUGAUCAGGUUUUUGGAUUGGAUUGUUGAAUAUAUGAGCAAUUUAGUAUGAGAUUUAAUCCGAAUCAGCAGUAAAUAGAUCAUGACAACAAUUGCAAACAUCAAAGUAAUGAUGCGGACUAAACCAGGAGGACAGAAUCACAUACUGUACAGCGGGAGCAGAACCGAUGUGGUUGAUGUUGUCACUCAUGUUGUUGAUGAAGAGGUUACCGAGGUCGGGGAAGAAGGUUGUCGUUGAGGAAGUCGUCACUGGCAGCAGUCACAGGAGUGUGCUCCCCAAAAACCUGAUCGCCCCUCUCCCGUACAGGAUCACGAAAGGCGGGGUUCGGAGGACUGUUGUCCCUUCUCGCGGUGCAUGCCGGAAGGAGGGCUGGAGAAGAAUUGCGUGGCGGCGCUAAGAUCUGGAACGGUGCGAAACCAUAUGAUACAGCGGCAGCUAGGGUAGAGCAUGUCAGGUCGGAGUAUAAUAGUUGGCCUUUGGCCCCCAAACCCCACGUCCAAGUCAAUAAUAGCUCAAAAAAAAGUCAAUAAUAGCCCCACCAAGGUUUGUCUCAAAAAAAAACGGAGUAAUUAAGGCGUCCAUUAGUCCCUUUAGUAUAAAUACAAUAUCAUUAAUAAUGGCCCCACCUUUUGUCUCACAAAGUAGAGUAUGUUGGAGUACAACCGGCUACACGUUUACAAUCCGCUUCUCUUCUCUCUCCUCUUCUCUCUCCUUCAACUAAUCACAAAUACUAUAUUUAAAUCCUUAUAGCCUGCUUAUGUCAUCUAAUUAUAGUACUUGCUCUAGAAGUUACUACUCCCUCCGUCUCAGUUUACAAGUCCUACGCGUAUACCUAGGUUGUCAAUUUGAUCACCCUAAUAUAAACUAUAUAACACAAAAUUUUUGUCUUUUGAAAAUAGAACAUCUGAAGUUUAUAUUGGUAUAUUUUUCGUAAUAUAUUACUUGUAUUAGGUUGGUCAAAUUGAAGACCUAGGGGUACGCGCAUGCCUUGUAAACUGAGAGAGAGGGAGUAUCCACUAUGUAGUCUGAAAUGCCGGGCGUGUAGCGGGCGGUGCCCUCGGUCGGCGUGCCGCUUCAACGGUGGAAGCAGUGAGAGGUCGCGUCGCCCUGACUUGCCAUCAAUGUGGAGCGGCGGGCUUAGCUGGCGCCGGGCGGGAAGCGCGCGCGGGAGGGGGGAGGGGUUUUUGUUGGGCCAAGAAGGUGAGAAGCCAACUUGGGAUCGGUCCGGACAGGGAAAUAUCAUGUGCUCCCAUACUCUGCACAUGACACUAGUCUAUGUUACUACUCCCUCCUUUCCGGUUUAUAGAGAUGUUUAGAGUAUCAUAGUAAUAUGUUACAGUACAAGUUACUCCCCACUAUGACCAGCCUUGGCCUCUCCCAGUGCUCCACCAUGUAUAGCUGCUAAGCCUGCCACGUAGGCAUAAAAUAUGAUGUGGCACCAAUAAACUAAGCACCUAUGCAUUGAACACUUGAGUUACUAAGCCAUUUAAUACACUUAGCACCUCAUCUAAAGAGCAUUAAUAGUAUAGCCAGGUGCUGGCUAUAAGCCUACAGCCCAUCUUAUAGUCAACAUGUACAAAGUGCCUAGGAGCACGUGCUAGAGCUGGCUCUUCACGAAGAGCCCGCUUACUUUCUCUCUCCUCUUCUCUUUCCUCCAACUAAGGCUGGUCGUAAUGGUAGUAUCAUAGCUAGUAUCAUGCAUGCCAACUAGGCAAUUUUGACGAGGUGGCAUAGCAUUAAAUGAAGAAAGAAAGAGUGGAGUAUCAUAUCAUGAUACCAUAUCAUAAUAAAUGCUAUGCUACUUUGUGUCAUGCAUGACAAUAAAUAGAGUACUACAUGAUACUACUAUAUGAUACUAUGCAUUACGGAGGUAGUAUCAUACACUAGUAUCAUAUGCAUGAUACUAGUAUAUGAUACUCCCCAUUACAACCAGCCUAAGCAGAAAUAUACUACUGUUUAUUCCUUAUAGCCCGCUGACUCAGCUCUAUUGUACUUGCUCUAAGCACAUCUAAGCACUUGCUAGCACCCCCUUGACCGUGGACCUUGACGGUGUAUGUCACCUUGUGUCUCAUAAUUUUCCUCGUCAUCAUCUGAGUCCUAGAAGAUCUCACCCACAUCAUCAUUAGCAUGCAGCCGCCUUGAUAGACAAUGUGUGCAGAAGGAGUAGAGGCGACUUGGGACGCACCACCACCACGUCGUGGGCACUCCGUAUGUGCUCGUGUGCGUGCAGCGUGCGUGUUUUUCCAUCGGUGCUAGCUCUAAGGCCGAGGCUGCGGUCGUCUUCGUCUCCAACUAGUAGUUGAGCAACGACAGCAAAGAGGUGCUGCAAGAGAUGCGAAUGCGCUGUUGCGUGCGAGCUUCGCCGUAGCACGACGAACCGGACGUCACCGCGGAUGGCACACGCCUCCAUGCAGCCGACUGUGUGCGCAUGCAUGUGUUAUUCACGUGCAUUCUGCGGUCGAGCGUGUGUGCAUGCACGUCUUGUGUACGUGCGUUGUGUGCUCCAUGCUAUGCAUGUAUGUGCAUGAGUUGGAUCGGAUGGAGUUAGUGCAUUGGCUUGUGUACACAUUUUAGAGUGUAGAUUCACUCAUUUUGUUUCGUAUGUAGUCCCUUAUUGAAAUAUCUAAAAUCCUAUAUUUGGGAACGGGGCGAGUAUAAAACAUCUUCAACUUAGCAUCAUGAUGUACCGUUUCUAGUGGUUAGCGAAAAGUUCAUGUUCUCUUAGUUGUUUAUAGGUGGGCAGGCGGCAAAAAACAGGGGGAAACGCACAAGGUUCCUUGCAGACGCUCCACCGCGAGGUUCCUUGCUCCUCCUCGGUCGUCGGGAAUCUAUGCUCUUCAACUCUUUUCUUUUAUGUGAGCUUUGUUCAUCCUUUUCCCAACACGCGGGACAUCUAGCAUCAAGGUGCACAUGUCAUGCAAGAAAAUGGAGAUAAUCAGAUAAGUAGUGCGUAAGUGAGUCGUGCGGGGGGGAAGCGGGGGGAAACCCUUUUCCGUAAGUGAGUCAUGCACUUCGAUGGCACCUACACAAUAUUUUUUCUCCUCGAUGGCACAUGAAUGGCACGUGAAUAGUGCACGUACUCAACGAUGGAGCACGGGAUGGUAGCAAUGACAUGGUCAGCCUUUUUUGGAGAGAGUAUGUACUACUGGUAAAUAACUUUGAUGUGUCCCGUCAACUCAUAGAAUGACGAGAAGCUUGAUUACGCCUUCUCCCUCGCCAACACGUGCGUGGUGGCUCGCAGCAUGAUGCUUACAAGCGGUGGACGUGCAUCAGUUCAUUUGGUGUUAGAUUGCCAGAAGCACUACUAUAGAACCAUCGACUUCCGGAAGAGGCGAAGAGCCAAGCGCAAGGUCACCUACUAACCUUAGGCUAGGCGUAGUGGGAGUAACAUAAGUAGAGGUACCUCCUUUUUUUAUUCUAGAAACAACCACACGCGAAUAUCAAGGUGCUGGUUAUGUAGAACAAAUUUCCUACAGUCCGUGCUCAACCCUCCUCUAUCUCUCUUCUCAGCCAGCCAGCGGACGCGCGGAGCCCAUCGUCCGUUUGCUCACAUGUGGCCCCACAUGUCAGUGAAAACACAAGAGGACCCACUGAACCUGCACAUCUUUCACCUCGACGUGCUGGUGAUGAAAAACAAAUCCAAGAAAGAUCUUCGGUGGCCGCUUUUGGAGUUACUCAAGAGUAGUAAGAUUCUAUUUACAGUUUAACCCAAGAUGCACAUCUCAUGGCUUCAACUACCACUCUAUUUUCUUUCAUGACACGACCUGGAUGCUGGAUGUCCCACGUGUCGGCAAAAGGAGGAAGAACCGGACCAAAUCUUCAGUUGUGCUCUCGGAUUAGACUAGUUGUGCUAACUUAAAAAAUUUAUUGUGUACUCCCUCCGUUCCAAAAUACUUGACUUCCAUUUGUCCAAAAAUGGAUGUACCUAUAUACUAAAACAUGUCUAGAUACAUAUAUAUUUUGACAAAUAGAAGGCAUGUAUUGUGCAAUGGAGGGAGUAGAAUGGAUGCAAGUUUCUGUAUUGGGAAGAAGAGUACAUCCAUAUAUUGAUAGAGCGCAAUUUAGUAGAUGUUCUAUCACUUUUAGCUAGCACAGAGGCUAUAGAUGAGAUUAGUGCACUUGUUGAUACUCCUACUUGGUAUGCGUGUUGCUGCUUAGACGUAGAGAAAAACGGACCGGAGGGAGUACUAGAAUAGAGGCUAGACAUGAGACUAGAUGCGAGGAAGCAACGUCUACUUCUUUACACUCGAAGAAGAAAGAAGCACGCAAGAUCGAGCCUCCGCGGAUCAACAAUGAAUGCAUCGAGAAGGCACUAAUCCAACUUACAGUAGUAGAAAAAUGUAUUCUUGUGGUUCUUGUUUUCUUUGGUCUUGCUUUUCCAGUCAAAAUUAUCAUUGGAGUUCGUGCAAAACGGAGGCCCAUUUGGGGUCGUGCGUUGUAGUUGGCCUUACAAGUGGGACCGCAGUUAAGGAAACCGACUAUCAGCAAACCCCCACCUCGCCCGCCGCGCGAUGGCUGGGUUAGAGAAACCAUGAGGUUGAAGAGAUUGCUCUAGCACGGACUCCAAGAAAUAUGGUGUCAGAUGGAAGUCGUGCUGGUGGCGUGUGCCGUACUCCUGGACGUGAAUGCUUGUUCUGGCCCAUGCCACCCUACUACUCCUACUACUUACUAUAUAGUACUACUAGUAUUGAGGAUUCGAGGUGCUGGUUAUGUAGUACAGUAUGGCUAUAGUAAAAACACCCGCACAACGCGCGAAGCAUGUGAAGCUAGUACAAAUAGUGUACUACUAUUGUUGAUUGGCCUCAUCCGAUAACCUGUUGCAAUGCACAUACAAUUAUGUAUUUGGAAAAUAUUUUUUUGCCUCGUCGCACCACUCACUCACAAAAGCGACUCAAAAGCUGUUCAUAAAUUUAGUAAGUUUAUCACACGCAUAUCAUUUUAUUACAUACAACAGGUCAUCAACCCACAUCGACAACGAGGAUACAUUAUAAAUACUAAAGUUUUCACCACACAACAAAUAACAAGCAAUGAAAUGAACUUGAACUCAACCAUUCCUCGGCAUUGGAAACGCUUGCUUUGAACCACAAGUGAUUCUCUGGGACGGGCCAUCCAUUGUCGAUCUGGAGACCAACGCAGGACUGAUCAUCCAGGCUGAAGCGGCCUGCUAUAUCAGUACCAGGGUAGGGAACCACCUAAAUGUCCGAGGUAUAGACAUAGUUGCUUCUCAUAAAUGGUAGUAACAUUGUGUCAACAGCAGUUGGAUCGCCUUUCACCAUCAUUGGAUAGUUUUGUCCAAGGAAGAGUGAGUUUUCUCCAAGAUUAUCAAUUCUAUACUAGGGAGAAGGAGUUGGCGCUAGCACACUAGUAUCCAUCCCGAAUACCAUGCAACGGGUGUUGGAAUAGGUCCGGAGAGUGCGACCAUGGGAGACUACACCUGCUUCCUUAGCUGUAACAUCAUCAGUGGGCUGUAUACACACAAGAAGAGGUGAUCCAUCGGAAUUAGUUACCAGGCGCCACAAAGUAUAUGGGCGCUGCUCGUCCUCAUGCUCGUGAUCAUCACCAUCGUCAUCUCCCCCUUGGUUAUAAAAUUUUUCUAGUAUGGGUGGUGGAAUGUUCACAAGACCUUGGAAACACAAGAAGAAGGUUAAUUAGUAAAGGGAAACUUGCUAACCCGCAUGCAUGUGGAGGAAACAAUUAUAAUUACGGUGGAAGACAAACAUACCAAAACUACGAGGAUUCCAUGCAAAAAUAGUGCCACGAGUGGUGGCAGCAAACACAAGGCCCUCAUAUUCAAUUGCAUCACAGUACUCAUCCAUGUACAGAAACUGAUUUUUGAGCAAUAUCCAUCGAGUCAAACCAGCAAGGAUGGCAACAAGCUUGUCGAAGAUAGCAACAACUUCAUAGUUGUUGUAAUUCCAAGAGCGGUUGGGAACUUGAAAAAUUGCUAUCUUUCAUAGAAGACAGUCACCAUGAUUGUAUUUGAACGUGCGUACAAUACCGGUGUGCUCAACCUCUGGGCAGUCUGCUGAGAUUUUUGGAAGUGGAACCCGGUCACGAGUGUACACAUUCACAAGUUCCCACUCGCAGUUGGACCCAAUGUUUUGCGCCUGCCCAAGCCUUGCCCUCAAGCGAUGGCAUCUUAACAUCAUACGUAUCAUUAUCAAGCGGCAUCAACUUGCACAGGGCGAGGCCUCCGUCGUGACGGCGUCAGUCAUCAGGGUCACGGCGAAGAAGAUAGGGGAGAUCAAACCGCUCCUUGACUCUUGGGUUCCUUGUAAUGAUGUUAUUAGUUGAGUCAAGAAUGGGUUUGAACGAACCUGCCAUGCUAGCCGAGGUGAUGACGUUGCACCGAUCAAUGAGUUCCUCCACCACAUCAUCUUUCAGAUCGGGGCAAGAAUAACGGGGUUGUUUCCGUCAUGUUCCCUCCAUGGAGAAGACGAUCGAACAAUGGCAGAAGAAAGGGUGAAGGGCUGAAGGAAAAUGGAGGAGGGAGAGGAAGAGUGUGCGGCAGCAGUUCCAAAUUAAGAGGGAAAGGCAAAGAGUCGGUGGACGGUUGCCAGUUUGCCAUGGUUCACGAAGGGGCGCCCCGGCCUACACGUCGGUUCGGAAAUACUCCUACUACUCGCCGUCAUCUCACUGAUAUGUUGGAACGGGACCACAUGUCAACGAAACAUGGUGUGUAAUUUCUCGUGCAAAAUGCAAUAUGGCCGCGUUGGCCCGAGGUGCCGCAUUAGUUUUGUUUUUUGAAAGUCUGCCGCAUUAGUUAUCGACCCUUAUUUUUUUUAACAUGCAAUCUGAAUGGAUAGCUCCUGUGGUCAUCACAUGUGAGCGGAUAUAGUGAUGGUUGAUUAGCCUGAGCAACUUAUUACUGUGGGAAUAUGGGAGUACCAGCGGAUUCAAGGAAUAGAGAAAUGAUGGUUGCUUCGUCCGAGCAACUUACUGUGGCGAAGGUGGGGCUCUAUGAUUUGACUGCUCACUAGUCAUUACUACUACGGUGCAAUGACCGGGGUGAAUCUUUCCCUGAAGUUGUGUUGUGCACUCAAUAUUGUUGCAUGGCAGGUGGAGCCGUAUGAAGGAUGUCCAACAUGUCGGCGAAACGAAGUUGAAUUGUUUCUGGCAUUGCUAUCAAUCCUUCAGGAUUUGUUUAUAUGUACGCAUAAUUUUGAUGAAAUUGUACUAUGAUGCUAUGAAGGUUUCAACUCUGGUUCCCGCAGGAAAAAAAAGGUUUCAACUUAGGAUUCAUGUGUCUUGCCUCGAGAUUAUCUCGUUACAACAUUCCAUCAAAUACAAAUGAAACUACCAUGGCUAAUGCAUCUCAAUGGUUCGCAGAUCAGCGCCAAUAUUCACAUCACAACUGAAGACAAAGUUGUGAGAAGGUGUACAAAUAAAGAAAAAAAUAUAAUUGAUCGAUGAUGUUCGUAGGCAUGGCUCCAUUUCCUUGGCACAAUGUUCAUUGCUUGGCAGCUAGUUUCACCCAGCUCUGUAGCCAAAAAAGAGGUGUAUGAAGGACACCACAAUCCGAUCAUUUUGUGCAGCUCCACUAAAAUCGGGCGGACCAUCCCUAUUUGCAAAGAUAUCCAGUCAGUGUGAUUACAAUAAUAGUGGAACUAGAUGAUGAAACAUAACACGCAUAAAUAGAAGUCGAUCACCUCUACGAUCUCUCUUUAGGACUAACUUCUUGUUGGAGAAGAUUAGGCACGGAGUUGGAUGAGGAGGAUAGCAAAACCAAUCUCCCUUUCCGCAGUCCCACAGAAAUGUAAAAACGUUGCCCGUGUGAUAUUUUGGCGGAACUGCACAAAACACUCUUCAGAAAAGUGAUUUGUGCAGUUCACCAAAAGGUCGCAAUAGCAACGAGGUGAAAAUGGAUAGCCCUGUUUGCAAAAGGAGGUCGAAAGGAAACAAUUACUGCCCAAUAACACGAGUUGAAGACACAUACGCCGACAAAAAAGAAGCAUGUUCCAUGUAAAAAAGGGAAAGAUAGCACAUGGUGGUUUAUCAAAAAUGGUUUGAGGAUGAGAUUGCAAGAUGGAAAGUACGCCGGCCGAGAUAUGAUUUAAGCAAACAACUAAAGAAGAUCCACAUGCAGCAACGUGGGAAGAUGGGCAGUGGAGCAAGACCGGAGGAAGCUGUACCUGAGGGUCAUCGGGAUGUUACUAGGAGGGCGCCGGCGGCCGGGAUCUGCCCAUACUGCGGCAGUGAGCAAGUGGCGAAGGCCCUACUGCACUGGAGCUUGGUCAGAGAGAAUGGCGGGUACCGUAGAUCGGGAUGAGCUGCCUCAACGCCGUCGAACGGAGAGACGAUGCACAUCCUCCCUUUCCGCCGGCGGACGGGAUGCGGCCGGAUCACUGACCAACGCUGAGAGAGAGAGAGAGGCCACGGCGGCCUUGUGUGAGAUGUGUGACGAGACUCACGAGAGACAAACCCAUUUUUCCAUUUUCCCCACGGCAAUCGUUUUAUAUUCUAGGCAUGGUACCCGACCCUCCUUCGAGUAAACAACCGCUACACGCGUCAAAUUAUCACGUGGGCUGCCUUUUCGUACAGAAACAAACUCCACCGUGUACCCGCGCGGGUGUGGCCGGGAACGAGAUGUGAGUGCGUGCGUCCUGUGUGCACUUCUUCUUUAGGUGCAGGUACGUACAUGGGUGGGUGUGAGAGAGAUGGUUUGUGCGAAACAGAGGCAAUGUGUUGAUGAUAUCUCAAUCAGAAAAACGUAACAUAUGCAAUGUGUGUGAAAUGGAGUCAUGGACGUGAGAUAUCGAUAGAAUUUGAGAGGGCAGAGGUGUAGUUCUUCUCCGUGGCAUGGAUACCUACCUACAACGUUCGACUAUCGGUGUGUGGGGGGGGUAGAGACCGGUCGACUAGUAUAUGUGUAGGGAAGGAGAGAGACCUAGCUAUGUAUUGAGGGAGAUCGAUCGACAUCCAUGGAUAUGUGUAGCAGAGGAAUAAGGUUGGGAAAAAGACAAAGGUAGAGCGUCGGAGGGUUGGUGGUGGAGUGGCAUUUCACAAAUGGUGGGAGAGGCUUGCUAGACAAAUGGAGGGUAUGAGUGCAAUAUCAAUAAGAGAGGGUGGGGGAUGUCUGUCUGUCUAUGCAUGUGCGUGUGAGAGACAGGUCGGGAGGUAUUCAAGGAUGAUGAGGGGAGAAGAUAUGGUUGUGGUAAGCAUGCGUAACUACAUAGGAAGAUCAACCGUCGUGUGUCCGAGAAAAGGAGAGACAUAACUAGCGAGGUAAGUGUAUCGGUGCUUGGUGAAAAUGAAUUAUAGUCGACCUGGAUAUAUGUAGGGAGAUCAGUUCAUAUACACGCCUGCAUGUGUUAGAAGCAAAUAAGGUCCGAAGAGGCAGACAGGGGGAGAGGGUGUGGCUAGGAGGUGGUGCGAGAGGACUACCAUGUCGAGGGGGGAGGAGUGUGCGAGCAUGUGAUUAAUGAAAAGAGGGGCGGGAGUGUGCACCUGCGUGGAAUCGUAUUGGACAUAUGGGGGCAUGGACGGUGAGAAGAGAAGAGGGGAAGUAUAUAUGUGUUUGUUGUAGGCACACUUGGCUAGAGAGGUAUAUCGACCGAUGUGUGCCAGAAAGAAGGAGCCGGGGGCCUACACACACCGUUGGUGGACGACAUAAACAGAAAUAAUGAACGUGCGCGAUGGAGAGGACGCUAAGGGUGUGGGGGGGCGGGCGUGUGCAUGCACGAUAGAAAGUUAGCGCUAGCUAGCUACAAAUACAAGAGGAUCGUGAAGGUGUAAAAGACGAACAAAGAUCAUAAUUCAUUAUAAAAAGGUGGAUACGGAUACUUGAAGAAGAUAUCAUAAUGUAUAACAUUAAUUAUAAUUUGAGCUAAUGUGUGGCUUUUGUAACUCAGGUCUAAAUACUUGUCAUAGUAGGGGGCGGGGCACUAUACUUUGUGUGAUAAACACGGUGUACGUAUGGACACAUGGUUUAGAUUAUGAAUAUAUAGUUAGUACAUCAAAUGUACUAUUAUUUGGAAUCAACAUCAAGUGUAUUCAAAAAAUAGAAUUCGAGUUCAUGUAGUACACAUAGUUCAUAUCUUUUUCUAUAGUAAUCGUGUGAUGUGUUAUUAAGGUAAUACACGAAUGAUGGUUGAAGUUGGCAACAAUCAUGAUUGUAGAUUCUUAUUGAAAUAGUGAUGCGGGACGCCUCGGAAACGAUCUUUCACGGUGCCAAAGAACUCACAAGGAGCAGCAACAAACUCACUCGAUACUUGUUUCAACAAACUUUGUUUCUCUCAAGUGGCAAGAACAAGAGGAAACACUCUCAGAUAAAUUGCAGCGGAUAACUAGCUGGGUUUACAAGGAUGCAACCCAAACCAUGAAGCUUGUGAACCUAUGAAGAAUCACAAGAGGAAACCACAAGGAUCCUAUAUGAAUUGAGGACAGGCCCUCCAAUCCACACACAUGAGCUAACACUCAACGAUACUAGUGCUCACAGUACAAUACAACCUCACCGGCUGUCUACAAACAUAAACUCAGAAAUCUCACCACCCCCCCCCCCCUCACAUGGAACGGCUGAGGAGUAUUUAUACUAGAAGCACCCACUAGUUAGGUGUGAAAACAACUCAAAAAGAAGGGUAAAUUCGUGAGCCCCAAGCUGUAGCAGGAGCAAACUUGUUGAGCCUCGCGCUAUAAUAAAUUCCUGGACAGCUUGCAUGGAAACUUGCACAACUUUUGACUCAAGACCUCAAAUGAUGCACCGUUUUUUUUUGAAUGAAAGCUGACUUCUAAGACCAUCUUUUCCAGCCUCUAUAAAGUGCUAGAGACCUCCAGAAUUAAUUAGGUUUUGGUGGGAAGUUGCUGCUGGAAAUCUAAUGUGUCCUUUCUCCCAAAAUAGGCACCGAAAGCUUCCCAACUAAGAUAAUGGUUUUGCCCUUAUCUUCCUUUGGAUGCUCUAAUGGUUCAGCAUUUGUGCUAGCAUUAACCUCACUCUUGGAUGCCUUGGUCAUGAUCUGGUCCACAUCAUCCUCCCUUCCUUCAAACAAAACCGUCCUUGAUUUUGAGGUAUUCUUUUUGGGCUUCUUCACUAGUGGGAAUUGCUCAACCUUGAGUACUUGAUCCAUCAUAGGUUCCAAGACAUGGUUCACUCCUUGAUGCAUGAAAGAAUACUUGUUAGACCUCCCAUGGUGAGUAGCAUCAUGAUCAAACUGCCACGGUCUUCCCAAAAGAAGAUGACAAGCUCGCAUUGGCACCACAUCACAUACCACUUUGUCCACAUAACUUCCCACUAAAAAUUGCACCCUCGCACGAUGCGUAAUCUUCAUAUUCUCAACACCAUUCAGACACUUCACAUAAUAUGGAUGGGGCUGCCUCCAUGUUGGCAUCCCAAGAGCAUGCACAAGAUCACUACUAAUGAUGUUGUUGUAGCUGCCUCCAUCGAUGACCACCUUGCAGUUUUUGUCCUUGAUCUUGCAAAUGGAUUGGAACACAUUUUGUCGCUGGCCCUUCUCCAUAAUAGGAGCAUCAUCAUGAGCCACUUUGCGAACCAUGAGAUUAACACCAUCUCCUCCAUCUAAACUCAGAGGUGCUCCAGUCUCAAAAGUACAAUAAUCUGCAUCUUUCUUCUCAGAUUCAGAUUUGUCACUUGAGUCAUCAGUGACAUAUCCAUCAUUUGUGAGUAAAACCUUCUUCAGAUUAGGACAAUCCUUCUUGAAGUGACCUCUACCCUUGCAUGUAUGGCACUGAAUAUUACUAAUGCGAGUGGCAGGAGUAUUGGAAGAUUCAACCUUUGAUGCAUUAGCUUCCUUUGUAGUCAUCUUGUUGUGUGAGCGAAAAUCUGCAGCGACACUUCCGUCUACUUCUCGCCGAGCUGAACCUCUCCAAGUGCUUGAUGUAUAGGUUUGGCUGCGAUUUUGGCGGCACUUCAGCUACUGCUCUACACAAAUAGCUUGAUGCACAAGUUCUUGCAAAUCUUGAUAUGUAACCAUCUCUAUCCUUUCUUGCACAUCUUCAUUCAGUCCAUGAAAGAAUCUUGACAUUGUGGCCUCCUCUGGCUCAUUUACCGCUGUCCUAAUCAUCAAAAUCUCCAUCUCUUUAUAGUACUCAUCAACACUAGAAUUACCUUGGCACAACCGUUGGAGUCGAUUGUACAAGGUUCUUGUGAAAUGUUCAGGAACAAACCAUCUCCGCAACAGAUUUUUCAUUUGCACCCAUGUCUCCGGACGACCUCCAGCACGACACAAUUGGUUCCACCAAAUCAAAGCAUAUCCAGUAAACUCAAUGGAUGCAUAUCGUACCUUCUUCUCCUCCGUAUAGCGGUGGCUGUCAAAAAUCUGAUCCACACGCAUCUCCCACUCCAAAUAAUCAUCGGGCUCGGUUUUCCCAUUGAAUGAUGGUAUGGUAAGUUUGAAUUUACCAAUCCCAUCAUCUUCAUGGUCACGAUGAGCACGCCCAUGACCUCUUCCUCCCACGGCAAAGCCUUCUUGGCCUUCUCCGCGACGAUCAUGAUGAACACGUUAGGGUCGAGGCUCGUAGUAGUUUCGAGCAUCAUCGGAGUGGUCGCUCCAAUGCUCUCCAUGGUGGUCCUGCUGUAUGGGGAGUUGUCGAUGUCGACCCCGUGCCGCAAGCCCAUCUCGUGGUGGCGACGGUGGCGCCCAAGUAGCACCUCACUGGUCGUAGCGAGCACGCCGAGGUGGUGCAGCAUAGUAGCUAUGAGCAUCACCCGAGUAGACGUGGUUGUGCUCUCCAUGCUCCUCCUCAAGGUGGCGUUGGCCCUGCUGUUUGGGGAUUUGUCGAUGUCGACCCCGUGCAGCAAGCCUAUCUCGACGGAGUUCCUCGGUGAGGGAGUCGAUUCUCCGGCCAAGGUUGGUCUCCACGGCCGAUAUGCCCCUCUCCACCUUGUUCAACACAUACUCUCGUGUAUCCUCCAAUGCCAACACAUAGGCGGGCUGCAAGCUUGGAUCAUACACGGGAAGUGGCAGCUCCUCCUCCAUGAGGUGCCUACCUCCAUGCACACCAUCAACACUACUUGAUCUCCUCGAACCCAUGGAAGCUUCUCAAGAACAAAAUCAGCAAGAGAGAAAAUAGCACCGCGAACAACCUAAAGCUCUGAUACCAAGAUGAUGCGGGACGCCUCAGAAACGAUCUUUCACGGUGCCAAAGAACUGACAAGGAGCAGCAACAAACUCACUCAAUACUUGUUUCAACAAACUUUGUUUCUCUCAAAUGGCAAGAACAAGAGGAAAGACUCUUAGAUAAAUUGCAGCGGAUAACUAGUUGGGUUUACAAGGAUGCAACCCAAACCAUGAAGCUUGUGAACCUAUGAAGAAUCACAAGAGGGAACCACAAGGAUCCUACAUGAAUUGAGGACCGGCCCUACAAUCCACACACAUGAGCUAACACUCAAUGAUACUAGUGCUCACAGCACAACACAAGCUCACCGGCUGUCUACAAACAUAAACUCACUAAUCUCAUCCCCCCUCACAUGGAACAGCUGGGGAGUAUUUAUACUAGAAGCACCCACUAGUUAGGUGUGAAAACAACUCAAAAAGAAGGGUUAAUUCGUGAGCCCCAAGCUGUAGCAGGAGCAAACUUGUUGAGCCUCACGCUGUAAUAAGUUCCUGGACAGCUUGCAUGGAAAUUUGCACAACUUUUGACUCAAGACCUCAAAUGAUGCACCGUUUUUUUGAAUGAAAGCUGACUUCUAAGACCAUCUUUUCCAGCCUAUAUAAAGUGCUAGAGACUUCCAUAAUUAAUUAGGUUUCGGUGGGAAGUUGCUGCUGGAAAUCUGAUGUGUCAUUUCUCCCAAAAUAGGCACCGGAAGCUUCCCAACUAAGAUAAUGGUUUUGCCCUUGCCUUGCUUUGGAUGCUCUAAUGGUUCAGCAUUUGUGCUAGCAUUAACCUCACUCUUGGAUGCCUUAGUCAUGAUCUGGUCUACAUCAUCCUCCCUUCCUUCAAACAAAACCGUCCUCAGUUUUGAGGUAUUCUUUUUGGGCUUCUGCACUAGUGAGAAUUGCUCAACCUUGAGUACUUGAUCCACCAUAGGUUCCAAGACAUGGUUCACUCCUUGAUGCAUGAAAGAAUACUUGUUAGACCUCCCAUGGUGAGUAGCAUCAUGAUCAAACUGCCACGGUCUUCCCAAAAGAAGAUGGCAAACUCGCAUUGGCACCACAUCACAUACCACUUUGUCCACAUAACUUCCCACUGAAAAUUGCACCCUCGCACGAUGUGUAAUCUUCAGCUUACCAACACCAUUCAGCCACUUCACAUAAUAUGGCUGGGGCUGCCUCCAUGUUGACAUCCCAAGAGCAUGCACAAGAUCACUACUAAUGAUGUUGUUGUAGCUGCCUCCAUCGAUGACCACCUUGCAGUUUUUGUCCUUGAUCUUGCAAAUGGAUUGGAACACAUUUUGUCGCUGGCCCUUCUCCAUAAUAGGAGCAUCAUCAUGAGCCACUUUGCGAACCAUGAUAUUAACACCAUCUCCUCCAUCUGAACUCGGAGGUGCUCCGGUCUCAAAAGUACAAUAAUCUGCAUCUUUCUUCUCAGAUUCAGAUUUGUCACUUGAGUCAUCGGUGACAUAUCCAUCAUUUGUGAGUAAAACCUUCUUCAGAUUAGGACAAUCCUUCUUGAAGUGACCUCUACCCUUGCAUGUAUGGCACUAAAUAUUACUAAUGCGAGUGGCAGGAAUAUUGGAAGAUUCAACCUUUGAUGCAUUAGCUUCCUUUGUAGUCAUCUUGUUGUGUGAGCGAAAAUCUGCAGCGACACUUCCUUCUACUUCUCGCUGAGCUAAACCUCUCCAAGUUCUUGAUGUAUAGGUUUGGCUGCGAUUUUGGCAGCGCUUCAGCUGCUGCUCUACACGAAUAGCUUGAUGCACAAGUUCUUGCAAAUCUUGAUAUGUAACCAUCUCUAUCCUUUCUUGCACAUCUUCAUUCAGUCCAUGAAAGAAUCUUGACAUUGUGGCCUCCUCUGGCUCAUUCACCGAUGUCCUAAUCACCAAAAUCUCCAUCUCUUUAUAGUACUCAUCAAUACUAGAAUUACCUUGGCACAACCAUUGGAGUCGAUUGUACAAGGUUCUUGUGAAAUGUUCGGGAACAAACCGUCUCCGCAAUAGAUUUUUCAUUUGCACCCAUGUCUCCGGACGACCUCCAGCACAACACAAUUGGUUCCACCAAAUCAAAGCAUAUCCAGUAAACUCAAUGGAUGCAUAUCGUACCUUCUUCUCCUCCGUAUAGCGGUGGCUAUCAAAAAUCUGAUCCACACGCAUCUCCCACUCCAAAUAAUCAUCGGGCUUGGUUUUCCCAUUGAACGAUGGUAUGGUAAGUUUGAAUUUACCAAUCCCAUCAUCUUCAUGGUCACGAUUAGCAUGCCCAUGACCUCUUCCUCCCACGGCAAAGCCUUCUUGGCCUUCUCUGCGACGAUCAUGAUGAACACGUCGGGGUCGAGGCUCGUAGUAGUUUCGAGCAUCGUCGGAGUGGUCGCUCCAAUGCUCUCCAUGGUGGUCCUGCUGUAUGGGGAGUUGUCGAUGUCGACCCCGUGCCGCAAGCCCAUCUCGUGGUGGCGACGGUGGCGCCCAAGUAGCACCUCGCUGGUCGUAGUGAGCACGCCGAGGUGGUGCAGCGUAGUAGCUAUGAGCAUCACCCGAGUAGACGUGGUUGUGCUCUCCAUGCUCCUCCUCAAGGUGGCGUUGGCCCUGCUGUUCGGGUAUUUGUCAAUGUCGACCCCGUGCAGCAAGCCUAUCUCGACGCAGUUCCCCGGUGAGGGAGUCGAUUCUCCGGCCAAGGUUGGUCUCCACGGCUGAUAUGCGCCUCUCCACCUUGUUCAACACAUACUCUCGUGUAUCCUCCAAUGCCAACACAUAGGCGGGCUCCAAGCUUGGAUCAGACACGGGAAGUGGCAGCUCCUCCUCCAUGAGGUGCCUACCUCCAUGCACACCAUCAACACUGCUGGAUCUCCUCGAACCCAUGGAAGCUUCUCAAGAACAAAAUCAGCAAGAGAGAAAAUAGCACCACGAACAACCUAAAGCUUUGAUACCAAGAUGAUGCGGGACGCCUCGGAAACAAUCUUUCACGGUGCCAAAGAACUGACAAGGAGCAGCAACAAACUCACUCGAUACUUGUUUCAACAAACUUUGUUUCUCUCAAGUGGCAAGAACAAGAGGAAAGACUCUUAGAUAAAUUGCAGCGGAUAACUAGCUGGGUUUACAAGGAUGCAACCCAAACCAUGAAGCUUGUGAACCUAUGAAGAAUCACAAGAGGGAACCACAAGGAUCCUAUAUGAAUUGAGGACAGGCCCUCCAAUCCACACACAUGAGCUAACACUCAACGAUACUAGUGCUCACAACACAACACAACCUCACCGGCUAUCUACAAACAUAAACUCAGAAAUCUCAUCCCCCCUCACAUGGAACAGCUGGGGAGUAUUUAUACUAGAAGCACCCACUAGUUAGGUGUGAAAACAACUCAAAAAGAAGGGUAAAUUAGUGAGCCCCAAGCUGUAGCAGGAGCAAACUUGUUGAGCCUCGCGCUGUAAUAAAUUCUUGGACAACUUGCAUGGAAACUUGCACAACUUUUGACUCAAGACAUCAAAUGAUGCACCAUUUUUUUUGAAUGAAAGCUGACUUCUAAGACCAUCUUUUCCAGCCUAUAUAAAGUGCUAGAGACUUCCAGAAUUAAUUAGGUUUCGGUGGGAAGUUGCUGCUGGAAAUCUGAUGUGUCAUUUCUCCCAAAAUAGGCACCGGAAGCUUCCCAACUAAGAUAAUGGUUUUUCCCUUGUCUUCCUUUGGAUGCUAUAAUGGUUCAGCAUUUGUGCUAGCAUUAACCUCACUCUUGGAUGCCUUGGUCGUGAUCUGGUCCACUUCAAAUAGAGAAACGAAUUCAAAUUUAGUUCAAAUUGCAGUGGUAGUAUAGACAUUUGGAAUGCACUAAAAUGUUGGUAUGAGUAGGUUACAUUCAUUAUACAGCAAGCGAAAAAAAUUAAUCGGACAUAACAUGGAUUCAUACUCCCUCCUUCCAUCUAUAUAGCGCGUAAUGAGAUUUUUAAGACCGCCUUUGACUAUUGACAAGAUUAAUAGUACAUGACAUGCACAAUGUGAAAAUUAUAUCAUUGAAAGAACCUUUCACAGACGAAGUUAACGGUGUUCUUUGUGUAAGUUGCAUGUCAUAUAUCAUUGCUCUAAUAUUUGGUCAAAUUUAGCAUCGAAAAAUGCAUUAGGCCCUAUAUAGAUGGAAGGAGGGAGUAGCUUUGAAUAGCAUUUGUAUAGUAAAACGGGGCAAGACUCUCUCUCUCUUUGUGUGGUGUGAAUAGUUUUAUUUUUUUCGUUUUCUUUUUGGUUGAGGGAAGUGCGAAUUGAUUUGGUACGUACAAGUACAAUAUUACUACACGUUAGGCUUGUCCCUAAAAUUCAACCCGCGUCUUGUUAUAUCCUGAAAAUUCAGAUAUCGUGCUCCCAAAACUGGCACCUUCACAACCCGUGCCUUGCUAUCCCGAAAUUACAAUGCGCGCGAAAACUCCCUCCAGCUGCCAAAUCCUGACACGCGAAAUCCCCCUUCUAACCCUGAGCCGAAAGGGCCGCUAGUUCAAAUCGGUGGGGGGUACUUUUGUAACACACCCUACAUUCUGGACAAGCGCGUCCCUAAGUCAUGCUUCACCCCCUCCCAUCGCCCCCUUUUCGCCAAUCGAAAUCCCAGGCCGCCAUAACCUCUCCGCUCCAGCCGCGAAACCCCACCCUCCUCCAUCCGCCACGUCACCGCUGCCCAGCCGGAGCCUCUUCCCCGACGACGUCGUCCACUGCAACAGCUCGACGUCCCUCGUCCACCUCCCCGGAUGAGGAUCCGUCGUCCAUCUCGCCGUCCCGCCGGUUCAGCCGCCCCGUCCUCCACCUCCAAGGAGCUGCUCCGAUGAUCGCCUCAUCUAUCGCGGCUGCACCAUCCCCACAGCGCCGCCUUAACCUGCUCCACCGAAACCGCAGCAUCCUCACCGACUCCUCGGACGAAGCCGAGGCCUACUCGGCGCCACCAAAGAGGUUGUACACUCAUCGCAUCGCACCUUCUCCUUAACUCGACCGCCCGGCGCUGAUGGUGCUCCAUCCCACACCCCCAUGGAGCGGCUACCUUGAAGCCGGCGCCACGGGCGACAUCUCCAUGGCAGCUCUCCCCCAGUGCGAGGCCCCUUCGGCGGUGGCGGCCAUACCAGCCGGAUCUGCUGCUGCUGCUCUGGCUCUCGCUCACUCGCUCGCGCUGCUGCUGCUACUCCGGCUCUCACUCGAUCACUCACUCGCCCAGCUGCUGCUGCUGCUCUCCCCCUCGCUCGUACUACUGCUCUGCUCCGAUUAAGCCACACUUCAGUCGACUGAAUCGACUUUUGGGUCAGUCAAUUUUCAGGGGUUGGGGGGGCUCGCCGGAGUUAAGGAAGAACCACCCGCAGCGGGGACGGGGGCUCGCCGGAGAGGUGCCCCACUAUCUAUCUUAGGGUUCAGGGUGGGGGCGGGGGGCCUAGAGGGCUGGCCGGGGCGGCGGUGGCGAGUUGUUUCAGGGCGGCAAGGCGGCGCUGGGGCCGGCGGUUCGGCCGGUGGUGGCUGGCGGCUCAGGGGGGUGCAGGUUGAAGAUGAACUGCAGGCCCUCCCUAAACUACAUGUCAAGUGCCUCUCUGCUACCAUUGCGUUUAGUUUCGACAGUAGCAUUCAGAUUCCACAGUAAAUUUCAGUUUUGACAGUUAAGUUCAGAGUCAACAGUUUUUACCUCAUCUGUUGUAGUCAGGUGGUUUUUGGCGAUGUUCAUUUUACAUCCAUUUUACAUCAUCUAUUGGAGAUGCUAUUAGAAUCCCACUUGAUAUUGAUGAUGUCUGUCUUGUGCUGCUUCAGCCUUGACUCUUACAGCUCACCGGAGCUGCUCCAACGACAGAAUGAUCCAUCACAACAGAGCAGUGCCCUGGACGCCGUCUACAGAUUCCUCAGAUCUUCCUCCACACCUCCGACAGCCACCUCUGCCUCAACUGCUUCAGCGACCAAUACAAUGAUGUUGAGGUCAACACGGCUACGGCAAAGAGGUUGUACACUUGUUGCAUCACUUAUUACUAUACAUUCACGUCGAUCCAUUAGGGCUAUUUUGGUUCAACGGAAAAACAUAGCAAUAGGGAAUUUUCCAAUGGCACUCUACUAUUCAAUUAUUCAUGCAUUUUGUUGAAAGGAAUGAAGCAAAACAUCCACUUGGACCUACUUUUCAAAAUCCUACGCAUGAAAACAAGACCAAGUGCAUUAGUGCCAGAAUAACAUUCUAACUGUACACGCUUUCAUAUGGUUUCUCUUUAUUUUGGCCAUGUUUCUUUGCAUUCCUCUGCUCUUCCAAUUCCUGUAAACCAAACACCCAAGUUGACAGAAAUCUUGUGUUUACAAAUGCUCUGUUUACCAUGUGCAUUUUCCUAUCCUAUUCCGGUGUUUUUCCUAUCCCUGCGUUUUAAGAAUCAUGCAAGCCAAAUGAGCCCUUACAGAAUUACUUCAGUUACAGGUACGUGUCGAAGGGAACUUUGUGUGGUUUGUCCUGCUCCUACCGCGACGUCGUCCACCUCACCUGAGCUGCUCCAUCGACAGAAGCAUCCACCAAACCAGACAUCACGACUCCUGACCGUCUUUCGCCGCCUCAGAUCUCCUUCCCUAUCACCGGCACCCACCCCAACGGCAUCACCAUCAUCGACUCAGCAGAUGAACCUGAGGAGUACACAGGUCCACAAGAGAGGUCGCACUCUUUUGUUUCUGCUUAUGUUAUGCAUUGCUUAGACUUACCUGCUACGUUAUCGUCCUGUUCGGCUCUUGGACUCCCGACUCAAGUCCAAAUUAAUGUUCAAACUUGAGUUCUAAAUUAGUUGUGGGGCACAUAUCGAGGCAGCAAUGAAUAGUAUGUCUGUCUAAUAUCUGGUUCACCUAGGGUAUGCCUAUGUUGUUCAUCUUGGGUGGGAAACAAAUAGUAAAGCAAUCAUCAUCUGUCUUUUUAUUAAUUAAAGCAAUCAUCAGCCUGCUAUCAUUAUUUUUGGAUCCAUCCACUGGUUGUUACCAUCACUCUAAAUUUCUGCAUGCUCUCCUUACAUAAUCUCACCAUAUUUUUUCGUAUGCAUGUCAGAUAUUGUACACAGUCAUGCUGAACAUGUAGAGAAAAAUAGAAGAGUUUUGCGCGGCAAUAUAAUGUCAUGCAGACAUCGCUCCAUGGUGGGUUCAAUGGCAAACCCUCCCCACCCCUCUCCAGAUUGUAAUCCAGAGGAAGAUAUUUGUUCUGAGGCGGAUUCAGACGCCGCUGACCACUCCUAUUUACCCCCCAAGGUGUUUGCUCUACCUUGGCAUGAUGAUGUUAGUCAUAUCAUGCAUAUGUUGCCUUGCAAUGCCUACUUUUGACAUCAUAUAUGUCAUCUGCUUAGUUUAGACAUGUUCUGUAAUGCCACCUGUUUAGUUUCUAUAUCAUAUAUGGGAAUUAUGCAGUCUCAUGUCUUUUAGCCAGCCAUAAUAUAUGUGAAAUGUGCAAUGCCAUCCUGUUUAACUAGGCGUCAUAUAUUUGAAUGAUAUCUUGCCCAUCCUUUUCUUCAUUACAUUUCUAUUUGUCGACAAUGUUUGUACAUUAAACUACUCUUCCUGUGAAUCAGCCAUUUGGGUGGGAGAUGGAAAAAUCUGGAGUGAAAACAAGGCCUUCAUAGCAGACAGUGCUACCUGUCGAAGCAGAUCUCUUGUUGGGCCCCGAUAGCUCCUCAGAGAUGGAUUCAGAGACAGAUGACCAGUCCUAUUUCCCCACUGAGGUGUAUGCUCUAACUUGGCAUGGUUAUACUGCUCAUAUCAUGCAUACGGUGUCUUGCAUUGCAUAGUUUAGACAUCAUAUACACAAUAUUCAACACCAUGUUCUUAGUUCAUACAUCAUAUCGAAUGCCCUCUGUUUAGCAUAUAAAUCACAUAUGUGAAUUAAAUGAUGCAAUCCUGAUUACUUAGAUAACAUGUAGGUGAAUUAUGUCAUGCGAUCAUGUUUAGUUAUUCAUCAUAUCUUUGAAUUAUGUUAUGUUAUGCUAUCCAGUUUAGAUAGACAUCAUAUAUGUGAAAUUAUGUCAUGCUAUCCGUUUUUAGUUAAACAAUAUACAUGUCAACUAUUUCAUGCCCUCUUUUUUUCACACUAUGUAUUGCAUCUGUCUCUCAUAAAAUAUUUGUACAUUCAACUAUGUUUCCUGUUUAUCAGCCAUUUGAAUUGGAGCGGGAGAUGCCAGUAUCUAGCGGAAUAAAAACAUGGUCUUCAAAUAAAACAGUGCUACCUCUUGGUGGGGAUAGCACCCCGGUUGUACAUGCACAAGAACCAGCCCUACCACACAUAACCCAAACUCUCGCAGAUUGUACCCCUACUGCAAUGGACAGAGAACCAGCUUCACCCAAUCUAACCCCAACCCCAGCCGAUAGUAACCCAGUUCCUGUUGACACAGCACCAUCUCCACCAUAGAGCUCCCAAACAAGAGCAGUUAGUAAGGCAGCUCCAGUGCCCAAAGGGCCAGUACUAUCACGGCGAACCCCAACUCCACCAGUUAGUACGUCUAUUCCUGUGGAGGAAGCACAACCAGCCAGUCAUAGUUUAUCAGCUAUUGCAUUUGAUGUUGUUAAAUCGUAUGUGCGUAUCUUCCCAUCUUGGAAAUAUUAUACUGAAGAUGAAGGAAAAUCUCAAUUGCAGGUGUUUGUCCAGGACUUAUGUGUAAGUAAUGUUAUUCAUGGCAAUUACUUUGCUUCGUCCCAUACAUCCUACCUCCAUGAUGGUUAUAAUACAACAAAUUUUCCCAUUUUUCUCUAUAGAGAAGGACUAAUUUGGAAACUCAAGAUGAGGUAACCUGUGCUAAUACCUCUGCUACCUUCAAGAAUGCUUGGUGGCGGUAUCGGAAUUACCUGAAGAAAACAUACUUUACCGGCAAAGAAACUCAUCAAAUUCCCUUACGUUCUUCUGAGACACAUUUACUAGACGAUGACUGGGAACGCCUUGUUCUGUACUGGUCCCGAACCAAGAAUGUGGUAAGGUCUAUGAGCUCAUUUUCUAUUUUUAAGUAUUAUAUUCUUGCGUCUUACUGUACUCUGUUCAUGUAGAACAAGUGCCUAAACCUGAAGAACAAAUGUUCUAAUUUAAGAUUCCAUUGCUAUCAUAGUUCAAAAAAGCGCUAGGCGUUAAUUGUGCGUUUUGCCACCGCCUUGCACUUUACUGACCAAAGUGCAUGCUUAUGCGCAGUUAUGCACAGAUUAAGCGUAGUUAUGUGCAAUGCGUUUUGCCAACGCCUAGAGCCUAGGCGCGCUUAAGCGCUCGCUUAGGCGCGCCUUUUUUAACUAUGAUUGCUUUGCUCUUGUAUCACUGCAUUUACUGAUACAAACUUAUUUUUAAAUUGAAGGAUCCAAUCGAAACUCCAAUGGCACAACAGGUAUGUUCACGCAUGUUUCUUUAACAGGUUUGCUCUUAUCAAUAGCUCUUUUGAUUUCAAUUUCAACUGUGUAUACAGUUGACUUUCAUAUCAUGCACAUUACUAGCAUCACAACAGAGCCAAUAGUGUUGUUGUACAUGUAGACCCGUGGUACCCAUCUGAAAUCUUGUUGUGCCAUGUAGUUUCCCACGCUUUGUAUUCUUUCACUUCUGCUUUAUCUUGAACUGAUAUGAUUUGAACCGUGUCUCUAUUUUGAUUUGGCAAGACAAUGCAGUGACCAUAGGACAUAGAUAUAUGUUUGUUUGAUGCUUUUAUUAUGUACUAGUACUUGGCAAUAGAAGACUUGGUAGUUCAAUCCUGUCCACCUUACUAAUGAACUGGUUCACCGAAAUGAGUUUCAUAUACUAGUACAUGCUAAACUUGUUAUGUGUCUGCUUGUUUCUUCUUUUAGAAUGCUGACAGAAUAUUGGGGAAGAGUGCCUUAUUAAGCAAUGGUAAAGGAAGUAAUGCAGAUAAGGUUUAGGAUAGUGACACAUCCUUGUUGGUCUCCAACAAAGCUGAUAAAACAGCUAAGGAAGACUAUCUUGAAGACAGCGAGACAACCCCAAAGUCCUGUCUUGGUUUAGUGUUCGAGUUACUGGCCACUACCGCUUGCACAAGCUAUUCAAACUCACUGUCUGAAUCAGUUCGGUUUCUUGAGUCUCAACUACAAACUGAAAGACAUCGAUCAGCUGUGCUGCGACAAGAAGCGGAAGGACUGCGGAAGUCCCUGGAGCAUUCAGAUGCAUACUUUCUGGUGCAACAGCAAGCGUUGGAGGAUUUUAGCGCCAAACAGGACAAAGCUAAUCAGCUUACUAAGCUUAUUGCCAGCAUGGUGGAUACCCAGGAUAAUGUUUCUUGAGCUCUUCUGAAGUUGUUUCAGUUAUGCUCUUGUUUUGCUGCCGCGUUUAUUUGCACUGGUGGCCAAUUUUGACGGCCAGUGUAUGUAAUAUGCUGCUUUGUUCCCUAUAUUUGCACUGGUGGCAAACUUUGAUGCCCAGUGGAUGUAAUAUGUGUAAUAGCGGUAAUAGGCUAGCCUUAAUUGCUUGCUUAUUUAUUUCCUUAUUGUCUUGUUUAGUUGUUUGCUUGUAGUCACUGCAGUUCUUUUUCUGUGUUUUUCUAGUGGCCAAAAUAGCCUAUUUUUGGUAAUUAGGCCAAAAUAAUCAUGGCAACACACGGACUGUUGUAACCAUGGGCCUCCUGCAGGCCAUAUGAUCCAUGGGCCUUUGUUCGGCCAUAGGACCAUUGGCCUUCUAUACGGGCCGUUGGAUCCAUCGGCCUUCUAUACGGGCCUUAGGGAUCAAUGGGCCUUCUACGGGUCGUAGGGUCCAUGGGCCUUCUACGGGCCGUACAAUCCAUGGGCCUUCUACGGGCCGUACUAUCCAUGGGCCUUCUACGGGGCGUAUCAUCAUUUCGCCAAUCAUGGGCCGUACUAUUCGUGGACCAUAAUGGGCCAUUAAUAGGCCGUAUUUGAUAACUCUAUGAAAAUAGCCCAACGGGUUUUUUUGACAUGAAAACGGCCCAACGUAUUAACGGUCCGCAAACGGGCCGACUGUAACGACGGGCUGAAUUUGGCCCACAAGCAGAAAAUGACAGUAACGGGCCGUAUGUAACCGAAUGCUGCAAGUGAGCCCAAGAAUCAAUGGGCCCUGAGAAGGCCAAAAGAUAACUUGGGCUGGAAACGGCCCAAUGAAAUAACGGGCCAUUAAUGGGUAUAAAGUGAUACACUGUUCAUUACGGGCCAGUUUCACCACGGGCCGUUAAUGGGCCAAGAGUUACAAAGGUCCUCAUAUGGGCCGAAAGAAGUCAUGGGCCACACAUGGGCCGGAAGUUAAAACGGGCUGAAUUAUAUUGGACGGCCCAGAUGAUGCUACUGGGCCUAAUUCGGAUAGGGCAUAACGGGCCCUGGGUUAGCGGGCUGUAAAUGGGUUAUAUGCGAACAGGCCGUUAACAGACUUUCUGUGGGCCGGCCCGCCACCUUUUGACCAAGUCAAACGGGCCGGCCUUUUCAUAGGAAUGGGCCUCUAUUGGGCCAUUCCACGUGUCGCUGUAUCAUAGACGCCUUCGGUCCAAUGAGCAGAUGACAUCUGUCCCAACGAUGAGCCGACAUGUGUUUCCUCCAGCCAAUGAUGAUUUUACAAGUGGAAAAUCCCCAUUGGUCGGGGCUGUUAACGGGUUAUCGGAUCCAAAACCUGACCCGAUAGCUUAACGGCGUUCCGUUACGGUGGAUGCCACGUGUCGGUCACCCUUGACGAAAGCACUUCUGUGACGCGCGAUUUAUCGUCAUGGAAGUGGACACUUCCGUGAUGAUAAUUUUGGUAAUGUCAUGGAACACUUCUACGACAGCACAGGUAUGACUAUCUUGAUUCUGUCAUAAAUUUGUCAUGGAUGUACAUGCAUGACAAAAAACGCGACCUACUGUGACAAACACGUAUCAUCACGGAAGUGUAUUUUUUUGUAGUGAAAGGUACCGAAAGGGCAAGUAAAAGUGGUCUUUUCUUGAUCCUCUUUUGACACGGGUAUUUGAGAGAAACCAGAGUAACCAUCUAGAAAGCAAAAAUGUGUAUGCUUGGAUAAUCUUUCUAGCAUUUGAUCAAUAAAAGGCAAAGGGUAAUGAUCCUUUUUAGUAGCUUUAUUUAAUUUUCGGAAAUCAAUUACCAUCCUAUAACCUGUAACAAUUCUUUGUGGGAUCAAUUCAUCUUUAACAUUAGGAACGACAGUAAUGCCUCCCUUCUUAGGGACACAAUGGACAGGACUUACCCACUGACUAUCAGCAACAGGAUAAAUUAUACCUGCCUCCAGAAGCUUUAGUAUUUAUUUUCUUACCACCUCUUUCAUCUUAGGAUUUAACCGCCGUUGGUGAUCAACAACUGGUUUAGCGACUUUCUCCAAUUUUAUUUUGUGUUGACAUAGAGUGGGACUAAUGCCCUUAAGAUCAUCAAGAGUAUAUCCAAUAGCAGCACGGUGCUUCUUCAGAGUUUUCAAUAAUUUCUCCUCUUCCUGCUCUGAAAGGUUAGCACUAAUAAUAACAGGAUAUAUCCUCUUUUCAUCAAGAUAAGCAUAUUUAAGAGUAUCAGGUAGUGGUUUAAGCUCAAACACGGGAUCACCCUUGGGUGGUGGAGGAUCCCCUAGAAUUUCAACAGGCAAGUUGUGUUUCAAAAUAGGUCCCUGUUUAAAGAAUACUUCAUCUAUCUCCCUUCUUUCAUUCAUAAACAUAUCAUUUUCAUGGUCUAGCAAAUAUUGUUCUAAAGGAUCAUUAGGAGGCACGGCAAUAGAAGCAAGACCAAUAAUUUCAUCCUUACUAGGCAAUUCUUUAUCAUGGGGUUGUCUACAAAAUUUAGCAAAAUUAAAGUCAUGAGACAUAUCCCCUAAACCGAUCGUAACAAUAUCCUUUUUGCAAUCUAUCCUAGCAUUAACAGUAUUCAAGAAGGGUCUACCAAAUAUGAUGGGACAAAAGCUAUCUUGUGGGAACCAAGAACAAGAAAAUCAGUAGGAUAUUUAACUUUCCCACACAAGACUUCAACAUCUCUAACAAUCCCAGCUGGUGAAAUAGUAUCUCUAUUGGCAAGCUUAAUUGUAACAUCAAUUUCUUCUAUCUCAGCAGGUGCAAUAUCAUGCAUAAUUUCUUUGUAUAAGGAAUGAGGUAUUGCACUUGCACCAGCACCCAUAUCACAUAAGCCAUGAUAACAAUGAUCUCCUAUUUUAACAGAAAUAACAGGCAUGCCUACAACAGGUCUAUGUUUAUUCUUAGUAUCUGGUCUAGCAAUUGUAGCAGCUUCAUCACAGAAGUAAAUAACAUGCCCAUCAAUAUUAUCAGCCAAGAGAUAUUUAACCAUAGCAAUACUAGGUUCAACUUUAAUUUGCUCAGGUGGUGUAGGUGUUCUAGUAUUACUCCUAUGAACCAUAGUUGAAGCUUUAGCAUGAUCCUUUAUCCUAACAGGGAAAGGUGGUUUCUCAAUAUAGGUAGUAGGAACAAUAGGAUCAUUAUAAGUGAUAGUCUUUUCUUUAACUUUAAUAGGUGCAACUACUUUUACUUCAAUGGGAGGAUUAUAUUUAAACAACUUCUCCUUAGGGAGGUCAACAUGAGUAGCAAAUGAUUCACAGAAAGAAGCUACUAUCUCAAAGUCAAGUCCAUAUUUAGUGCUAAAUUCACGAAAAGCAUCGGUAUCCAUAAAAGAUUUAACACAAUCAAACUUAGGUGUUAUACCUGACUCCUUACCUUUGUCGAGAUCCCAAUCUUCAUAGUUGCGUUUAAUUCUUUCCAAUAAAUCCCAUCUGAAUUCAAUAGUCUUCAUCAUAAAAGAUCCAGUACAAGAAGUAUCGAGCAUGGAGCGAUUGUUGAGAGAAAGCCGAGCAUAAAAUUUUUGAAUAAUAAUGUCACUUAAGAGCUCAUGAUUGGGGCAUGAAUAUAACAUUGACUUAAGCCUCCCCCAAGCUUGAGCAAUGCUUUCUCCUUCACGAGGCCAAAAAUUACAUAUAUAAUUACGAUCACGAUGAACAAGAUGCAUAGGAUAAAACUUCUGAUGAAAUUCCAAUUUCAAUCAGUUGUAGUUCCAUGAUCUCAUAUCAUCACAUAGCCUAAACCAUGUCAAUGCCUUUCCCUUCAAUGAUAAAGGGAAUACCUUCUUCUUGAUAACAUCCUCGGGCAUACCUGCAAGCUUAAAUAAUCCACAAACUUCAUCCACAUAGAUUAGGUGCAAAUCAGGAUGCAAUGUUCCAUCUCCUGUAAAAGGAUUAGCUAGCAGUUUCUCUACAAUACCCGAAGGAAUUUUAAAGUAAACAUUUUCAGUAGGUUCAGUAGGUUGAGGAGCAACUCUUUGCUCUACUGGUUGGGGCGAAGAUACCCCAAACAAGCCCCUCAAAGGAUUAUGUUCCAUAGUAACAAGUGACAUUAAAUUUCAGCACACUAUAUAAAAUUUUCCUUACCAAAAGCGCUUCACUCCUCGACAACGGCACCAGAAAAGAGUCUUGAUGACCCACAAGUGUAGGGGAUCUAUCGUAGUCCUUUCGAUAAGUAAGAGUGUCGAACCCAACGAGGAGUAGAAGGAAAUGACAAGCGGUUUUUAGUAAGGAAUUCUCUGCAAGCACUGAAAUUAUCGGUAACAGAUAGUUUUGUGAUAAGGUAAUUUGUAACGGGUAACAAGUAAUGAAAGUAAAUUAGCUGCAGCAAGAUGGCCCAAUCCUUUUUGUAGCAAAGGACAAGCCUGGACAAGUUCUUAUAUAGAGAAAAGCGCUCCCGAGGACACAUGGGAAUUAUCGUCAAGCUAGUUUUCAUCACGCUCAUAUGAUUCACAUUCGUUACUUUGACAAUUCGGUAUGUGGGUGGACCGGUGCUUGGGUAUUUACCUUUCUUGGACAAGCAUCCCACUUAUGAUUAACCCCUAUUGCAAGCAUCCGCAACUACAAAAGAAGUAUUAAGGUAAACCUAACCAUAGCAUGAAACAUAUGGAUCCAAAUCAUCCCCUUACGAAGCAACUCAUAAACUAGGGUUUAAGCUUCUGUCACUCUAGCAACCCAUCAUCUACUUAUUACUUCCCAACUCCUUCCUCUAGGCCCAAACAAUGGUGAAGUGUCAUGUAGUCGACGUUCACAUAACACCCCUAGAGGAAAGACAACAUACAUCUCAUCAAAAUAUCAAACGAAUACCAAAUUCACAUGACUACUUAUAGCAAGACUUAUCCCAUGUCCUCAGGAACAAACAUAACUACUCACAAAUCAUAUUCAUGUUCAUAAUCAGAUGGGUAUUAAUAUGCAUUAAGGAUCUGAACAUAUGAUCUUCCACCGAAUAUACCAACUAGCAUCAACUACAAGGAGUAAUCAACACUACUAGCAACCCACAUGUACCAAUCUGAGGUUUUGGGACAAAGAUUGGAUACAAGAGAUGAACUAGGGUUUGAGAGGAGAUGGUGCUGGUGAAGAUGUUGAUGGAGAUUGACCCCCUCCCAAUGAGAGGUUCAAUGGUGAUGACGAUGAUGAUGAUUUCCCCCUCCCGGAGGGAUAUUUCCCUAACAGAAUAGCUCCGCCGGAGCCCUGGAUUGCUUCCGCCAAGGUUCCACCUCAUGGCAGCGGUGUUUCGUCCCGAAAGCUUGCUUAUGAUUUUUUCCAGGGUAAAAGACUUCAUAUAGCCAAAGAUGGGCACCGGAGGCCUGCCAGGUGGCCCACGAGGCAGGGGGCGCGCCCCCCACCCUUGUGGACGGUGGGUGGUCCCCCUCUGGUAUUUCUACGCUGAGUAUUUUUUAUUAAUUCCAAAAAUAACUUCCGUGGAGUUUUAGGACUUUUGGAGUUGUGCAGAAUAGGUCUCUAAUAUUUGCUCCUUUUCCAGCCCAGAAUUCCAGCUGUCGGCAUUCUCCUUCGUGUAAACCUUGUAAAAUAAGAGAUAAAAGGCAUAAGUAUUGUGACAUAGCGUGUAAUAACAGCCCAUAAUGCAAUAAAUACCGAUAUAAAAGCAUGAUGCAAAAUGGAUGUAUCAGAUCCUAUCUCAUAUUCCAUGGCCUCAAGCCAUCUGUCAGAAUUUGGGCUCAUCAUAGCUUCUUCAUAGUUUGUAGGUUCGCGUUGGUCUAGUAACAUGACUUCCAGAACAGGAUUACCGUCCCACUCUGGUGCGGAUCGUGCUCUGGUUGACCUACGAAGUUCAGUAGUAACUUGAUCUGAAGUUUCAUGAUCAUCAUCAUUAACUUCCUCUCUAGUUGGUGUAGGCAUCACGGGAAUGGUUUUCUGUGAUGAGCUACUUUCCAAUUCGAGAGAAGGUACAUUUACCUCAUCAAGUUCUACUUUCCUCCCACUCACUUCUUUCGAGAUAAACUCCUUCUCUAGACAAGACCCAAACUUAGUAACAAAGAUCUUGCCUUCGGAUCUGUGGUAGAAGGUGUACCCAAUAGUUUCUUUAGGGUAUCCUAUGAAGACGCGCUUAUCCGAUUUGGGUUCGAGCUUAUCUGUUGAAGCCUUUGGACAUAAGCAUCACAUCCCCAAACUUUAAGAAACGACAGCUUAGGUUUCUUGCCAAACCACAGUUCAUACGGUGUCGUAUCAACGGAUUUAGACGGUGUCCUAUUUAACGUGAAUGCAACUGUCUCUAAUGCAUAACCCCAAAACGAUAGUGGUAAAUCGGUAAGAAACAUCAUAGAACACACCAUAUCUAAUAAAGUACGGCUAUGACGUUCGGACACACCAUUACGCUAUGGUGUUCCAGGUGGCGUGAGUUGUGAAAUAAUUCCACAUUGUUUUAAAUGAAGGCCAAACUCGUAACUCAAAUAUUCACCUCCGCGAUUAGAUCGUAGAAACUUUAUUUUCUUGUUAUGAUGAUUCUCCACCUUACUCUGAAUUUUUUUGAACUUUUCAAAUGUUUCAGACUUGUGUUUCAUCAAGUAGAUAUACCCACUGCUCAAAUCAUCUGUGAAGGUCAGAAAAUAAUGAUACCUGUCACGUGCUUCAAUACUCAUCAGACCGCAUACAUCGGUAUGUAUUAUUUCCAAUUAGUCAUUAGUUCACUCCAUUGUUCCGGAGAACGGAUUUUUAGUCAUCUUGCCCAUAAGGCAUGGUUCACAAGCAUCAAAUGAUUCAUAAUCAAGUGAUUCCAAAAGCCCAUAUGCAUGGCGUUUCUUCAUGUGUUUUACACCAAUAUGACCUAAAUGGCAGUGCCACAAGUAUGUUGCACUAUCAUUAUCAACUUUACAUCUUUUGGCAUCAAUAUUAUGAAUAUGUAUAUCACUACGAUCGAGAUUCAAUAAACCAUUUACAUUGGGUAUAUGACCAUAGAAGGUUUUAUUCAUGUAAACAGAACAACAAUUAUUCUCUGACUUAAAUGAAUAAUAGUAUUGUAAUAAACAUGAUCCAAUCAUAUCCAUGCUCAACGCAAACACCAAAUAACAUUUAUUUAGGUUCCACACUAAUCCUGAAGGUAGAGGGAGUAUGCGAUGGUGAUCUUAUCAACCUUGGAAUCACUUCCAACACACAUCGUCACUCGCCCUUAACUAGUCUAUGUUUAUUCUGCAACUCCUGUUUUGAGUUACUAAUCUUAGCAACUGAACCGGUAUCAAAUACCUAGGGGCUACUAUGAAUACUAGUAAGGUACACAUUAAUAACAUGUAUAUCAAAUAUACCUUUGUUCACUUUGCCAUCCUUCUUAUCCACCAAGUAUUUGGGGCAGUUCUGCUUCUAGUGAUCAUUUCCUUUGCAGUAGAGGCACUCAGUUUCAGGCUUGGGUCCAGCUUUGGGCUUCUUCAUGGGAGCGGCAACUUGCUUGCCAUUCUUCUUGAAGUUCCCUUUCUUUCCCUUGUCCUUUUUCUUGAAACUAGUGGUCUUGUUAACCAUCAACACUUGAUGCUCUUUUCUUGAUUUCUACCUUCGCCGAUUUCAGCAUCGCGAAGAGCUUGGGUAUCAUUUUCGUCAUCUCUUGCACAUUAUAGUUCAUCAUGAAGUUCUAGUAGCUUGGUGAUAGUGACUAGAGAACUUUGUCAAUCACUAUCUUAUCUGAAAGAUUAACUCCCACUUGAUUCAAGAGAUUAUAGUACCCAGACACUCUGAGCACAUGCUCACUGGUUGAGCUAUUCUCCUCCAUCUUGUAGGCAAAGUACUUGUUAGAGGUCUCAUACCUCUCGACACGGGCAUGAGUCUAAAAUACCAAUUUCAGCUCUUGGAACAUCUCAUAUGCUCUCUGGCAUUCAAAAACUUUUUUGAAGUCCCGGUUCUAAGCCGUAAAUCAUGGCGCACUAAACUAUUAAGUAGUCAUCAUAUCGAGCUUGCCAAAUGUUCACAACGUCUGCAUCUGCUCCUGCAAUAGGUCUGUCACCUAGCGGUGCAUCAAGGACAUAAUUCUUCUAUGCAGCAAUGACGAUAAUCAUCAUAUCACGAACCCAGUCUGCAUCAUUGCUACUAUCAUCUUUCAAUUUAUUUUUCUCUAGGAACAUAUCAAAAAUAAGGGAGCUAUAUCGCGAGCUAUUGAUCUACAACAUAGAUAUGCAAAACUAUGAAGACUAAGUUCAUGAUAAAUUAAGUUCAAUUAAUCAAAUUACUAAUGAACUCCCACUUAAAUAAAUAUACCUCAAGUUAUUCUAAGUGAUACGUGAUCCAAAUCAACUAACCCAUGUCUGAUCAUCACAUGAGAUGGGGUAGUCAUCAAUGGUGAACAUCUCUAUGUUGAUCAUAUCACUAUAUGACUCACAUUCGACCUUUCAUUCUCCAGUGUUCCGAGACCAUGUCUGUACAUGCUAGGCUCGUCAAGUUUAACCCAAGUAUUUUGCAUGUGCAAAACUGUCUUACACCUGUUGUAUGUGAACGUAGAGUCUAUCACACCCGAUCAUCACGUGGUUUCUCGAAACGACAAACUUUCGCAAUGGUGCGUACUCGGGGAGAAUGCUUAUAUCUUGAAAUUUAGUGAAGGGAUCAUCUUAUAAUGCUACCGUCGUACUGAGCAAAAUAAGAUGCAUAAAAGAUAAACAUCACAUGCAAUCAAAAUAUGUGACAUGAUAUGGUCAUCGUCAUCUCGUGCUUUUUAUCUCCAUCUCCAAAGCAUCGUCACCGUCUCGACACCUUGAUCUCCAUUGUUGCGUCGUGGUCGUCUCGCCAACUAUUGCUUCUACAACUAUCGCUAACGCAUAGUGAUAAAGUAAAGCAAUUAUAUGGCGUUUGUACUUCACACAAUGAAGAGACAACCAUAAGGCUCCUGCCGGUUGCCGAUAACUUACAAAACAUGAUCAUCUCAUACAAUAACCUUUAUCACAUCAUGUCUUGACCAUAUCACAUCACAAGAUGCCCUGUAAAAACAAGUUAGACGUCAUACUUUGUUGUUGCAAGUUUUACGUGGCUGCUACGGGCUUCUAGCAAGAACCAUUCUUACCUACGCAUAAAACCACAAUGGCGUUUCAUCAAGUUUGUUGUUUUAACCUUCUUCAAGGACCGGCCGCAGUCAAAUUCGAUUCAACUAAGGUAGGAGCAACAAACACCCACCAGCCACCUUUAUUGAAAACUAGUUGCAUGUCAGUCGGUGGAACUGGUCUCACGUGCGUGGAUAUGUAAGGUUGAUUCGGGCCGCUUCAUCCCACAAUACCGCCGAAUCAAAGUAAAACGUUGGUGGUAAGAAGUAUGACUAUCACCGCCCAUAACUCUUUGUGUUCUACUCAUGCAUAUCAUCUACGCAUAGACUUGGCUCUGAUGCCAUUGUUGGGGAACAUUGCAUGGAAAACAAACAAAAAAAUUAUGCACACGCAAGAUCUAUCCAUGGAGAUGCAUAGCAAAAAGAGGGGAGAUCAUCUUCAUACCCUUGAAGAUCGCAAAGCGGAAGCGUUUAUCAACGCGGUUGGUGUAGUCAUACACCUUCAUGAUCCAUCCCGAUCAAGUACCGAACGUACGGCACCUCCGCGUUCAGCACACGUUCAGCUCGAUAAAAUCCUCACCUUCUUGAUCCAGCAAGACGGGCGAAGUAGUAGAUGAGUUCCGACAACACGACGGCGUGGUGACGGUGUUGGUGAAGAACAAUCUCCAUAGGGCUUCGCCAAGCACAACGGAAACUAUGAUGGAGGAUAAACUAGAGGGGGUGGGGUUGCCGGCACACGGCUUGGUGAUUCUUGAUGUGUCUUGGGUACUAGCCCUGCCCCUCUAUUUAUAUGUUGAGCCUUGGGGUCGAAACUUGGAGUAAAAGCCUCCUCAAAGUCGGUUUUACCCCAAAGGCAAGAAUCCUUCUCGGACUCCAGGACCAGACGCCAGGGUUCCCGGCAUUUGGACCCAGACGCCAGGGACCCUGGCGUCUGGCCCCUGGACUCCGCAAAACUUCCUUUUGCGCUUUCCAAAAACCUUGUGGGCUUUCCCCCUUUGGCCCAAAUAAAGUGUUCUUGUACCCAAACAUUUCGGGAAACAUCCCCUUCCGGUGAAUUCCGGAACCUUUCCGAAGACCAAACACUAUUAUCCCAUAUAUCAAUCUUUACCUCCAGACCAUUCCAGAGCUCCUCACCAUGUCCGUGAUCUCAUCCGGGACUCCAAACAACAUUCAGUGACCAACAUACAUAACUCAUAUAGUAUUAUAUCAUCAACGAACGUUAAGCGUGUGGACCCUACGAGUUCGAGAACUAUGUAGACAUGACCGAGACACCUCUCUGGUCAAUAACCAAUAACGGAACCUGGAUGCCCAUAUUGGCUCCUACAUAUUCUACGAAGAUCUUUAUCGGACGAACCUUAUGACAACAUACGUAAUUCCCUUUGUCCAUCGGUAUGUUACUUGCCCGAGAUUCGAUCGUCCGUAUCUCUAUACCUAGUUCAAUCUCGUUACCAGCAAGUCUCUUUACUCGUUCCAUAAUAAAUCACCUCGUAACUAACUCCUUAGUCAUUUGCUUACAAGCUUAUGAUGUGUAUUACCGAGAGGGCUCAGAGAUACCUCUCUAAUACUCGGAGUGACAAAUCCUAAUCUUGAUCUAUGCCAACUCAACAAACACCUUCGGAGAUACCUGUAGAGCAUCUUUAUGAUCACACAGUUAUGUUGUGAUGUUUGAUAGCACAUAAGGUAUUCCUCCGGUAUCCGGGAGUUGCAUAAUCUCAUCGAAGGAAUAUGUAUUUGACAUGAAGAAAGUAAUAGCAAUAAAAUGAACGAUCAUUAUGCUAAGUUAACGGAAGGGUCUUGUCCAUCACAUCAUUCUCCUAAUGAUGUGAUCCGUUAUCAAAUGACAACACAUGUCUAUGGUUAGGAAACCUUAACCAUCUUUGAUCAAGCGAGCUAGUCUAGUAGAGGCUUACUAGGGACACGGUAUUUGUUUAUGUAUUCACACAUGUAUUUAAGUUUCCGAUCAAUACAAUUGUAGCAUGAAUAAUAAACCUUUAUCAUGAAUAAGGAAAUAUAAAAUAACAACUUUAUUAUUGCCUCUAGGGCAUAUUUUCUUCAGAUUUAUCAUUAUUGACUACUUGAAUUGCUUGGUAAUGAAGAAAGAUGCCUACUGGAGGUGUUAGGAUUGAGUAGUGGUGUGUGUACAGCGGGGUGAGGGGGUGCCUAGAAGGGUGUAAGACAUAUUGGUCGUCCAUUUUCCUUGUACAACUCGAAAUACAUAUGUGUUUUUCACACAUGUCAUCAGCUCCUCAUACACAAAAUACGCACAAUUUGUAAAACAAACUAAGUACUAGCAGAAGACAUACGUUACAGUAGGGGAACCCAAAUUGAUCAUGGCAUAGUCAAUCCACUGAGCUUUUCUUGUUGCCAUUCAAUCUUCAUUAGAGAGAACAUUUGAUUUGAGACUUUCACAGCCUAUUGAGCCUCUCUACUACCUCUUUCAUUGUUGGUCGAUACUUAGGAGACUCCUCUGUGCAACUUUGUGCGAUGUCCAAGAAAGCUUUCACCUCCUUUGUUUCUUUUUCCCCUUCUAAACCCAUUCGAUGAUCCGCAAUCUCCGAGGAUAUGUCGGCCUCAACCUUUUCCCUUGCCCAUUUCAAUAGUUCUACCUCCUUACCUCUAAUGUUCUUCAUUGGCCAGCUUGGUCGUCGACCGGUCACUGUCUCCAUCAUUAGCACGCCAAAACUGUACACAUCUGCUUUCACGCUUGCUCCCACACCUUCACGUAUCUCUGGUGCCAUGUACCUUUGUGACAGUUGCAUAAACAUAAGAUCACAUAUAUCCUUUUUGAAGCACAAUAAUCCUAUCAAUGGUCUAAAAUAUGAGAAAUGUGGUGUUUGCUACUGAAAAGAAAGGCAUUGUAUACCGAACUAUGUGUGCGUUUAAGUUUUAAUCUACUAGUAGUACUCCCUCCGUCCCAUAAUGUAAAACGUUUUUUGACACUACACUAGUGUAAAAAAACGUCUUACAUUGUGGAACGGAGGGAGUAGUAUUUUGUUGUCUAAAAUUCAUUAAAUUGCACUACCGUAACUACAACAUACUCAACUUCACUGCAGUGAGCUUGUCUUCUAUGCAUAACUUUAAACCACUCCUUGUAUUUAUAUGUAAACAAAAUGCAAAACAUGCGACCACAAAAUAGUUAGAUAAUAAUUUUGGGUGUCCUAGAAAAACUUAGCUUGGCAGUUGUUACCGCUCCUGCGCCCAUAGAAACGAUGUUGGGCUACUUAAAUAUGAGUAAAAUUCAUUAGUCAUAUUGUUUUCCACAUAAAAAGAUGGCAGGACGAGGUGGGUCUACUGCAAACUCAGUUUAAACUAUGAAAAAUGACUCCCUUCGACCGACCGAUCUUGGACCAGUGUCCGCCGCCUCCAGGUCCGUUAGAUGGGCUCUUAAUCAGAUAGUCGGGAGCCAACUCCUGUAUCCACCUUCUGAAACUGAUCCAUUGUUUCAAAAAGGGUUCUGAAACUAGCCCCUUGUUGCAAACCGACCAGAGGCUAGAUUCAACAGCGCCCAUGUUAAAAAAAUCUGCAACAAGACUCAUGUUGCAAAAAAAAAUCUGCAACAUGUCCCAUGUUUCAAAAAAAAAAUCUCGCAACACAAACAUGUUGCAAAAAAGAGCACAACAUAACCUCCGUUGCAAAUAUUUCCGCAAAAAGACCUUUGUUGCAAGGUAGAGAAAGACGUUGCAUUGUGUCAUAUCUGAUAGCUCGCUAGGCGGCGGAUCUUUUAAACUAUGCCUCAUCCAACUUUUCACUAGUUUCAGUCGAAUUUCAUGUCGUCUGAUGCAUUCGUGCUCUAAAAGGUUUACGGGUGUGUUUGAAACUUGCAACACUGAAAACAUGCGCAAAAUGUAAACUCUUGAAGUGAAAUGAUUUGCAAGAAGGUCAGUGCAUUACCCCGCUGUGCCGGCGGCCUGCGUGCUGAGCUGCGACGCGGCAGGGCCGCCGGUGACGACCCUCGCAUGGCCGAAAUCGGCGAGCUUGGCCUCGAAUCCCUCGUCGAGUAGCACGUUGCUGGACUUGACGUCCCGGUGGAGCACGGGCGGGUGGCGGUCGUGGUGCAGGAAGGCGAGCGCGGCCGCUGCGCCGCGGGUGACGCGGAGGCGCGCGGGCCACGGGAGCAGGCCACCGGCCGAGGCGGCGUCGCCGUGCAGCCAGGCGUCAAGGCUGCCUCGCUCGAGGAGCUCGUAGACGAGGAGGCGGUCGCGCCCGGCGGCGCAGUAGCCAAGCAGGCGCGCGAGGUUGCGGUGGCUGAGGCUGCCGAGCACCUCCAGCUCGGCGCGGAACUCGCGGUUGCCGGCGCCGGCGGCGUGGUCCGCGGAGAGGCGCUUCACGGCAACCGCGGGUCCUCCGUCCGGGAGCACGGCGCGGUACACGAACCCGAAGCUGCCGUCGCCGAUGAUGUUGUCCGGGGAGAAUUCGCCGGUGGCCCUGGCGAGGUCGUCGAGCGAGAGCUUCUUGAGCGAGGAGUCGACGGCCGAUCCGUACAGCGACCACGACGAGGAGAGCUCCGACGAUAUUCCGACCGGGGCGGAGAUUGGGAGGGACGACGAUGACGAGCAGCGGUGGUCCGGCUCGAGGAGGCGGUUCUUGCGGUGGCGGCAGAGGAAGGCGAGGAGGAGGCAGGGUAAGGAGAUGCCUACGAAGGCAGCCACGGUCACGACCAGCGCUUGGUACACAGCUUCCAUGGCUGCAGGGCCGGGUAACUACGGAAGUGGGGAGGAAGAUGUGGGCUAUUGAUUCGUGAGAGUGAGAGGAAGAGGAAGAGUCGCCCGUGGAGUCAAGAACGUUCGGCGGAUUGCGGUUGACUAAUUCUCCUGGGAGGAAGACUUUGACUGCUGACUAACCAAUCUCCUCGUUCUCUUCUGCAGGCCGUGUAUAUUUACGCACAGGUAUAUUCUACAUUUGAUGCACUUGGUAAAAAAUACUUAAGGGGAAUCUGAUAUGAUGUCACAGUAUACUUUGUGUUCGACGGGCUUUUCGCUUCAGUUUCAACCGCAACAUGCGUCUGUCUUGUGCUUAGUUUGCGAUGGCUGGAAUCUGAACUUAUUUGCUACGUACACUGUACUUCUUGAUUCUUAACUUUGUAAGAAAUCAGGACGCAAUUCACACGGAGAGCGGCUAACCAAACAGUAAAACAGGUUCACGAGAUGAGACUAUUGUUUGUGUGAUCCCCCGCAUUACCAAACUCUCACCUUAAUCUCCCUUCUCUAAUUUCUCUGUCUAGCUCCAACAAGCGAAAGCAGGCAUACGGCAGACUUCGAAGCAAACACGCCUACUUGGCAUUCACAUCCACAGAGAGGUAAGACCCGAGAUAACUAAACGGGAGGCUGAAACAUAUUUCACACGUUCUACUAGGUGUCGAGGUACUUUGCUGGCUGGCCUAGCUAAACAAACCACAGGUAAGCCACACAAAAUUUGCCCGGCGGCAAGUCGUACAGCAUCAGAGGCCAUAAAGCCAUAAAGAUUCACGUCAGAGAGCCCAACACAUGGAGCAACACCGUAAGCAAAAACUAUCAGGUAAGCUUCAUGGCUUGCACUUGGCAUGUCCCAGUUCAAUCGAGCAUCGGACCACGCCCGCGGCCUCGGGCGCGCCAUGGGCCUCCCCUUCUUCCCAUGCCACGACCUGUGAGGUGACGAAUGCGAGUGAUGAGAGGUAGGGGCGUGCAAGAAGCACAUCACUAUGAUAUGUCACACCAGAGCUUACCACGGCCUGGAGGGGGGUAUUCAUAAGGUUCUCCAUCGAAGUAUUCAUUCUGCUCCAUCCAUCUUCCCCUGCCACGCCCUGCGAAGCAAUGGAGGAUAGGAGCCAUGAGAGGAAAGGGCAUGCAAAAGCCACAGAAAGAUGGUAUGCGAGACCGAGCUUACCACGGCCUGGAGGAGGGCGAUACUCAUCUGGUUCGCCAUUGUAGUAUUCAUUCUGCUCCAUUCUUCUUCCCCUGCCACGCCCUGAGAAACCAUGAGGAACAUAAGCCAUGUGAGAUAGGGGCAUGCAAAAAUGAAAAACAGAAACAAUGAUACAUCAUACUGAGCUUACCACGGCCUGGAGGGGGUUGAUACUCAUCUGGUUCCCCAUCAAAGUAUCCACCCCGCUCUUCAUAGUAGCCACCCCUGCCACCAUAACCGUAAUCAUAGCCAUAGCCACCACGUCGACCACCUCCGUAGUAGCCACGGGCUCUUCCCCUUCCUCUUAGCCGGCCUCUCCCUCUGCCUCUACCAUUGUGGUAAUAGUCUCCAUCCUCCUCCCAUUCUUCACCCCAGUCAUAAGGAGGGGGUCCAUUGCUAAUAGCUGUACACGUUUAUCAUCACAGAAUUAACAUAGUUUCUUGUCCAUAUGAUUUGUUGUAAGAAAAUAACGCAUGCACUCUGAACAAACUUAUAAAUUGUAGACUGAAAAAUAAGUCCAGAAAAUGAAGCCAAUUGAAGCACUGUGAACUUAGAAUGCAAGAAAACUAGAUGAUACCCAAUGAAUUCACCCUCAAGAUUUAAACUAUUCUAUGUAGAAACAAAAAGGCAAAAAAUAGUAUAAAAGGUUGAGUGUGUCAUAAAUUAAAUGUGAUGGCAUUUAAAAUCCACUAUGCAUGUUGCAGGGUAGAGUGACUCGUUCAAAUCGGAGGGAUGUUAGUUGACCAGGCUAGCAAAUCCAAUGGCUAUAAAAAUUCGGAUGGUGUGGAAGCACACAUGCACAGAAAAAUAGCAAUUAAUGACUUGUGGGGUUUGUCUAUAUAAGAUAUAGAGAUAUGUCAGUUUUUAGGAAGGUAGGUAAACAAACCAGUCACGUGUGAAAGGUACAGGGUGUAAAGGAGUAAGCCGUAUUAUGUAUACGUAAUAAGAUAUUGUAACUUGGCAACAUGGGAUGCUAAAGUUAUAAAGAUACGGUCGUGUCUGGGGGCCAUAUGAGUUACUAUCUGAAAGUUGUGUGCUCGGAAAGACGUGAGGAAAAAAAAUACCUCUGCCCCUGCCCCUUCGGCCGCCACCAGGUCCACCACGACCUCUACCACGAGCAGAGGGAAAGGAUCCUAAAUUACCAUGAAGGACGUUGUGAUCAAAUGGUGAUACAUGUGAAAAAUAAAAAACGGUGGAGCGGAUCAACUCAGAGCAACACCUUCGUGUUCAUAAUCAAAAGCAGGUUUCACCUCUUCAGCUGGUAUGGGUGGCUGGUACCUAAGGGUAUAUACCCACAAUACGCAGACAAAUUACAGCCAGUUUCCAAUAUUGAACAACAAUAGACAGCUAAGGGAACUCAAAGCGGCUGAAUCUGAACUGAUUCAAUAUCUGGUUGUACAAAAAUGAGCGAAAGGACAGGGCUUGCCUUACCCUGGAGAUGAUGUAUCCAAUGGUUCCUUGGACAAUGUUAGGGUAAUCAUUGAUACAUGACGAGUUGUCUCUAGCCUGUGGUAAAAGUGCAUUAGUGUGGCAAUAAAUCUUUCUUCUUUUUCUGAAGAAAAGAAUAUAUGUACAUCCAUACGGGACAAGGCCUUCUUCCAGAGGCUCCCAUGUGUCAGUGAUGCCAACAGAUUCAAUAGACGUAUUCUGAUGGAGACCAGCAACCCUUCUCUGAGGAACAUUAUGUGUCAAAUUAGCAAAACAAACAAAAAAUAACCACAUUAAUAACAGAUAUUUUAAGGCAGAAGAAGUUACUAUUAACCUUGAUCAAUUCAGCAACCAUGACCGUCUUAUUUAUGGCACGUCCCAUGGCUUUGAUAGUGAUCUCAUCAUGCCCAUUUUCCUGAAAAAAUGCAUGCAAAUAAAUAUACAGUAGGAGCAAGAAAAAAAGUGGUUCAGUUAUGAAUUCAACCAAAAUGAAAUCAAGAUUAAUAACACCAUUUAGGGAUUCUGAAAAAUUCUGUUGACCACUGACCACAAACAGGUUUUCAGAAAAUAAUGACUGAAGCGGUAUAUGCAAAUAUGAAGGUAGCUUUUCGACAUUCAUGUGAACUGCACACAAGUUCAUGUCAUUUUAUUAAGCUGAUAACAUGCACAUACUUCAGGCAUAAAGAUCGAAUGGUAAGUAAGUGAAACAAAGACAAACUGAAAGGCUUCACAAAGUUACGUUGUCAGACUCGAACAGGAAGUAAUGGACAGAGAAGCACUACAGAAUAUUAACCAAGAAAACCCAAAGUCGGGCAGGUGUCUCUACUUUAUUUUUUUAUUAUAUACUUAGAAAGAACCUAGCAUUCCAUCUUUCACCCAGUUUUGUCUCAUCAAACCAAUCUUUGGCAACCCAAUAAACCAGAUCAAUCUAUGUAAAGCAGAUUAGAAAUAAAUCCACGGUCCAUAAAUAAAUUGUUUUUAUGGUAAAACGGCUGGGCAUUCGGUUUAUAUGGUUAAUACGGUUCGGUUUAUUCGGUGUUUUAUAAUUUCGGUUUUGUAGAAAUGGAAACCGAAUUAAUCACACAAUAUUUAGAAACCGAACCAUAUUAACCAUAAUAUAUCGGUUCGGUUUAUUUGGUUAACCGAAAAACCAAAAUUUACAUGCACUCAUCAGUAUAUAUCACAAGAGCUAGCAACCUUAACAUCAGUCCGUGCUUUAUUCGGUCAAGCAAACUAGUGAACAUAACUAAGUGUAAAAUCACAUGGGGCGUUACAUGUAUUAUGUACCGAAGAAUAUGUGUGAUGCGUGUAAACUAAGCAACUCAUGCACUAAUUGAUACACUAAUUGCUAGUUACUUCCAUAACCAAGCGCCGGGCAUGCAUACAUACUCCUACGAGUACUAGUUAGAUUGUGAGAUUAGAAACUCAUCUAGCGGCUGGCCUGACGUCUGCCACAACCAACAAGUAUUUGCCAGAGGACGCGCCCCCGCUGCACUUUCGAAAACAAGGUAUUGCAUGGGGUAUCGUACAUAUCGGUUUUUUCGGUGUAUUCGGUUUUUGGACACUGGAAACCGAACAAAAACCAAACACCGAACAACCUUAAAAUUUCCCACCGAACAAAAAAUCGAAUCACCGAAUUAAUAGAUAAAUCGGUUAAUAUGGUUCGGUUCGGUUCGGUUUUUCGGUUUUCGGUUCAAAAGUGCCCACCCAACCUGGUACUGAUCAGUCAUCUUUGGUAAAUAACAAUAAAAUUCACUGCCCAGAAGUAAAUAAAUAUCAACCAAACUCUUAGUAUUUGGUAACCCGAUAAAGCAGAUUAAUCAUGGGCACAUAUCUAUUUUAUCAGUUUAAGAAAUAGCUGGAAAUCUAUACUUUGUAAAUAAAACGUAAUCUUAUUUUGUCUAUUUGCUUUGCAUCAAGAUUUGUCCCAUAUGAUCCUCUUACUGUGUUAAGAAAUACUUAGCCCCCGUGGCAACGCACGGACAGCACGGACACAUACCUAGUACUAGAAUUAUAAAUAAAAAAUCUAACAUCAUACUCGGUGGCAAAUAGAAACACCUAAUGAUAAAUUAAAUACAUGUGAGCACAGGCAUAGGAUGUUGAGCAGUGUCCCUGAACAUAUCCCCACUAUCGAGGCAUUUCCCAGAUUGCUAAACAUGGCAUACAAAGAAAUUGUUGCUUAUUGAACACCAGAUAAGGACAAAGCGAAAUGACGAAGCAUAGCAAGGGGCAUCACCUCAAGCAACGACAUCCCGUAGCCGAUAUAGUUCCUCAUCCUCCCGAGCGCAGUGAUCCUGAUCUCGUUCUCACGAAUCGGUGUCUCAUUCCGAGGCUUCUCCACCCUUUGGUAUCUAUCCAUGGCUAUGAAUCGAGAUAGGUCUUAGCAUGGCAAGAGCAGCAGCAUAAAUAAAGUACACAGAAAUAAGGUAGGCAUGAAAGGAGAUGAGACGCGAGGAUAAAAACGUAAGAGGCGACAUGAUAAAUCGGAUAACCGCCGGCCACGAUUCAUGCAACCCCCAAGAACCCUACCCCCAGCAGUCGGUUGCAGCAAACGAUACACGAGAUGAGAAGCUAAACCCACGCGAAACGGAAUGAGAAGCUGAGGAAGGCACGCCAUGACGGCACGGUGCGAAUUUCUUGGAAAGGAAGAGGGGGGAGCACGAAGGAGCAAAUGGCCCCGCGACACCCUGAAUUCCUGAUCCAGGAAAGCAGCCUGAGGCGCAGACCCAAGGAAGCUGCCGGAAUGACGGCGGCGACACGGAUUUCGCUCCGCAUCGCCGAAUGGCGCGAACAGGGCCCCGCCGGCAACGUCGCCUCUGCCGCCAACGCGCGCUCCCCGGCGGAGGCGAGGAGUCGAAUCGGCUCCUAGCCGCCGCCGGCGCCCGAAUCGGAGAAGAAUCGACAGGGGGCGAGGAGGAUGAGAGGGGGAAGGAAUCGAUCGCACCUUCGGGCUCGCUGCUCCGCUCUGCCUACGGAGAGAGUGAGGAGGGGUCUCGAGGUCGACGGGGUGGAGGGGGAACUGGGGAACCUCCCGUGGCGUGUGCGGGUUCAUGGAUGCAUUACGGUCGUCCCUACGGGUGACGUGGAGGCGCUUUAGACGUUCGUUCGCGCGAUUGCGUGGGCGUGUGGCCUCGAUGGACCGGUUCGAGGAUAAGGAGGGACUGCGUGCCACUGUCAGUUGAGGCCAGGCGACAAGUGGGACUGCGGGAGGGGCUCCGUGUCACUACAGGGCCUGCCUACUGACACGUGCGUCACCUGUGAUAACGAUACUCCCUCAAACGGUGCAUGUAGAUUUUCAAAAAAAAAACUUCACAAAUUGAUCACGUUUGUAGAGAGCAAUAUUUACAUCUAGAGUGCCAAAUAUAUACAUAUAGAUUCAUCAUAAGUUGUAGUUUCGUAUUUUAUAUAUAUUUGAUAUUAUAGGAAUAAAUAGUUUUCUUUAUUAACUUGAUUUUGCAAUGUUUGAUUUUCUAAAAAAAUCUAUACGCAUUAUAUAUUAUGAAACGGAUGAAGUACUUCAUAAGGUGAUGCUCUGCACCGGUCAACUAGCGCGAGCUCCAGGCCAGCCACAUCCAAACCGCUUGAUGCGUUCCUCUUAGCGGUGAAAUCACCCCUACAUCCCCUCUUUCAAAACGCACAGGCAUGCAUGGUCAACCCUCUUUCCUUGUGCGAGUUGGAGAGUGGACAAUUGCGCAUUGGUUGGUAGCACCACGACGUGCCUGGCCGCAGCUCGAUUGCAACUUUGUUGCCCCUUCCUACGGGUGGUAUCAAUAUUGCUCGGCCAUCGUUGUCGUCCGAGCAUCAAUGCAUCAUCUCUAGUUGUCUGUGGUUCUAGCUCUCCUCUCCCCCCCCCCCUCCUCCCCCCACAUCGCUGGUUNNNNNNNNNNNNNNNNNNNNNNNNNNNNNNNNNNNNNNNNNNNNNNNNNNNNNNNNNNNNNNNNNNNNNNNNNNNNNNNNNNNNNNNNNNNNNNNNNNNNNNNNNNNNNNNNNNNNNNNNNNNNNNNNNNNNNNNNNNNNNNNNNNNNNNNNNNNNNNNNNNNNNNNNNNNNNNNNNNNNNNNNNNNNNNNNNNNNNNNNNNNNNNNNNNNNNNNNNNNNNNNNNNNNNNNNNNNNNNNNNNNNNNNNNNUCUGGUUCAACAUCCCGAUGUCACAGUCUGGUUGCAGCUCCUAGUGAUUCCCAUUGUAGCAUCGCGGCGGCCCGUUGCAUCAUCUCGACGUCAGCAUCAUGGCAUCGACAGACGCGAGUCGUAACUUCGGCUCUCUUAUCGCAGCCUGCCAUCUCGUCGGUCCUAGCAAAAACGGUUGUAGCUUCCAUGGGAGCCGAUUGCGGCUUUCCCGUCCUCUCUCUCGGCACUGUCUAGCUUAUGCAAGCGCCGGUUGUAGCUUUCACCAUCGUUGGUUUCCGUAGUGGUGGACCGUAGCUUAGCGUGGUGCAGCUGCACACCCCGGCGGGCAUGGAGGCACUCGUGGCGGAGAUCAACGGUGAGGAUGCGCAUUGUAGCUUCCACGGGAGCUGACUGCAGCUUUCGCUUCCUCCUCACUGGGCACUAUCGUAGCUUAUGCAGGCAACGGUUGCAGCUUUCGCUACCGCUGGUUUUAGCAGUGGCAGACCGUAGCUUACCAUGGUGCAGCUGCACACCCCGGCAGGCAUGGAGGCACUUGUGGCAGAGAUCAACGGUGAGGAUGCACAUUAUAGCUUCCACGGGAACCGAUUGCAGCUUUCCCUUACUCCUCGGUCCUCACUGGGCCUAUCGUAGCUUAUGCAGGCGCCGGUUGCAGCUUUCGCCAUUGCUGGUUUUAGCAAUGAUGGACCUUAGCUUAGCAUGGUGCAGCUGCACACCCCGGCGGGAAUAGAGGCACUCGUGACGGACAUCAACGAUGAGAAUGCACACUCCGGCGGGCAUGGAGGCACUCGUGGCGGAGAUCAACGGUGAGGAUGAGAAAGCCACUGGUGAGGAGUUAGGAUGGUGCAGACGUAAGGAGUUAGGGAAGAGGGACACAUGAGGAGCCGAGAGAGAAUGGCGACGAACAUGAGUUAGUUUAGAGGAACAGUGGAGGAUGGCGGCAAGUGCCACAAAACCAGCGAACGUGAGUUAGGAAAGAAGGAACUGGGGAGGAGGUGGCCGGUAAUCCAAUCGAAGGAGCCGAGACAGGAUGGCGACGAGCGUGCGACUAAGAGAUAAGCAAGCGAGCGGUGCUGCAAUCAACCUGGUUACUAAAACAGGUCUGGUUCAGAAGACUUAAAAUGGCAUGGAUUUGUACCAAGAAAGUCCUAGGCAAGCAGACCUAUUUCUAACAGCCGGUACGACGAUGAAAAUGGCUUCUACACAUUCCUUCAAAGCUCGCAGAAAACUAGAUAAACAACCUUUUAGGCAAGCAAACUCAUUUCAGAAAAUUUGCGACAAGGUACGACUCUAAAUAGGUUUCAACAGCUAAAUCACAAUAACAAUAGCACAUGACACGAAGAAUUCAUAGAUGAGCCAGAUUCUGAAAACAUCAACUAGUACAAAACUUAGGCAGGGGAAGUAAUCAAGUAUCACAUGUUCGUUUUGACAAAAUGAUAUAACUGAUGAUGCGCGGCGGCAGCUCAAGCCUUGAGCUUGCCGUAGAACCUCUGCUUCUCGUCUGUGGUCUGGAAGCGACCGUGGCCGAACUUGGAAGAGGUGUCGACAAACUUGAGCUUGAUCUCCUCCAGGGCCAGACGAGAGGUCUGCUUCAGCAGGGACUGGCGGAGGGUCACCACGCGCUUCUUGGGGCCGACACAGCAUCCUUUGAUCAUCAGGUAGUCAGCCUUCACCACACCAUAGUGAGGGAAGCCGCCCAUCGGAGUGAUGUCCUUCUCGGUCCUGUAAGAUCAAACCAGUGCAAAAGGAUCAUCACCGGAUACAAUUCAGACCAGAAAGUACAUAGAUUACAAACAAAAGCUAACAAAAACACACCUGUCGAACUCAGUAGAGGCAUCAUGAGUUUCCUGUCCAACCUUGCCAAUCUUGUAGACCUUCUUGUUCAUCUCAGUUCGGUGGUGGUAUCCAUUCUGACCAGCACGAGCAACAGUGUAGGACACCCUAGCAGGAUGCCAGGCACCAAUACAGGCAACCUUGCGAAGACCUCUGUGGGUCUUGCGGGGAAGACGGGUGACACCCCAACGUGUCACAACACCUUCAUAACCCUUACCCUUGGUAACUCCAAUGAUGUCAAUCAUCUCAUCUUUUUGGAAUACAGCAUCAAUGGGGACUUCCUUCUCAAAGAAGUUGUAACCAUAGUCGACCUUGUCAGCGAUGGUGCCACCAUUGAUCUGGAUCUCCAUGAGGUGAGCCUUCUUCUGCUUCAACCCCUUCAUCUUCCUGAUCUGAAUCACAUCAAGAGAGCAACGUGAGUAACAUUACUGUCAUGAGUGAACAACAAGGGCAAAAGAUAGAAAGUAACAAGACAAUUUCUGACCUGGGUAUGGGCGAUAACUCGGACAACAGUAGCAUACUUCUUCAUCUUCUCAAGCUGCAUCUGGAUUUCUUUCUUGCCAGCAUCACUGUCAUACUUCAGAGCAUACUUGGUGAAGGCCUUCUUCUUGCUCUUGCACCAGUUCUUGUAGAACCUUCUCCUCACAUCUUCGCUGAGAUGCUGUGCCCAGACAGAGUUGAGAGUACGAAGGCCACGAGGAGUCUUCACAUAGGCAACAAGUCCAACAAUAACAAUCGGGGGUGUCUCAACAAUGGUGACAGCCUCACAUGUCUCCUUCUUGUGUAGCUCUGUAGGAUAUCAAAUGGAGUGUUAUCACACAUAUGCAGAACACAUUUACAAAUUCUAAGUUAACUAACAGAGAAUCAAUUGGGUAAAACAAGAAUAUGAACAUAGACAGAGAGUUAGUAAACAUACUGGAACCAGGCUUCUCGACCUCACGCACAAUGUGAGUCAUCCCAGCCUUGUAGCCAAGGAAGGCAGUGAGAUGGCAUUUCUUGGAUUGGUCAUCUCUGGGGAAGGCCUUCACUGCAAUGAGAACAGGCAAAUAUUAGAUUGAUAUAACAAAAUCAAUUGAAUGUCAAAUUUUCGCAAUGACUGGAAACAGCAUUGAAGAAUCAAACAAGCAGUGUGCCACAUGCACUGAUGUAAUGACAGGAAAAGCUAAAAACACUACGCAUUUGAAAGAAGCAAUUUACUACGGUACAGAUAUUUGGCAUCUUUCCAGACUAGCAAAAUUUUGAAUGAAAACUGGUGCACGCAUGCAUUUGUAAUCUAUUAUAAAUGUUAUCAACAAUAGUUUACCGGCUGUGUUCCUUGCUUAGACAUGAAAAACAGCAUCGCGGUAACAACAAAACAAACAUUGAGACGUGCACAUUAAGGAUUACAGGUUACACAUGAACUAAUUGAAAACUUCAACAAAGGACUAGGGCAGGAGGCAAUCUAAGGAAGCCAAAUUAUGGCGUGAAUUCCUAGUUACGAACUUACUACUGCACACAAAAAGGUCACUAACCCAAGCAUGUUUCAACAAAAAGCGAUGCACCCAAACAAUCUAUCCACACAAGCGGGCUCGCCUCACUGAUCGACUCAACAUACAGACAGAGCAUAGCACGGCUAUCAUCGGCAGGUGAAGAGUAACUAAGCAAACAGGCAUACCCUUUCCGCGGUGGCGCGAGCACCGCUUCCUGGGGAGGAAACCGAGGGAUCCGUGCCUCGGGUGCUCGAACUUCCGGUGCGACAUCUUCCCUUCCUUUCCCUGCGGAUAACAAAUCAGGAAUCCAUCAGAUCCCGGCAGCACAAGAGCGCAACGAAACGACCACGAGUUCACGACUUCGGGCGGCGGCGGCAGAGCCCGGCGGCAACCAAAUGCCCGCCGCCGUCGACGGUGAGAAGAGAGCAGAGACGAGGGAAAGGGAGUAGGCGGCGCAGUUUACCUGUGGAGGUGGAGGUGGAGGCGGCGGCGGAUGGGGGAGGGUGGUGUGUGGAGGAGGAGGGCACGUAAACCCUAGGAGAGCUUAUAUAAAGAGGGACCCCAGGGUGAGGGUUUUGUUCGGUCGGACGGAAAUGCCCCUUGCGGAUGUUGCUAGGGCUAAUGAGGCCUGGCCCGUUUCUCUGCUCUACGUGUGGGUUCCGGCCCAAUGUGCAUUCUCUAAAAAAAAAGGUUACUCUGCUUUCUCUCCCCAAAAGAAAAAUUAAGGCCUCGCUCAAGCUGGGAGGGCCGAUGACGUAUGUCGACCCAAGUUAAAAAUAUCAGAUAGUUUGAGCACCUUUAAUUAGAGAUUUAUUAGAUUGUCUCAAAAAAAAAAAAUUUAGAGGGUGCUUUGAAGGUGUAAUGUAAAGCCAGCGAGCCUCAGACCUCUUCCAAUGCAAAAGUGCUUAGAUGAGAUGCUAAGAGCAUCUCUAGCAGACCCUGCAUCCCGCCGACCCGUAAAACGCGUUUGCAGUUUGCGGAAAGCGCGUUUUAAGGGUCGGUUUUUGCUGCGGCAGAACAGACCCCUUAAACUUAAACUGUAAAAUGGAAUAUUCGCUUAUAUUAUUUCCCCACAUCUUUUUCUUCCUCUUGUCCAUGCCCAUGGUCAGCUAGUUUGCUCCCGCAAAAACCGACAAAUAACACACAAUGCGGCAAAAAAUGGAGUCGCACGAUCCAUUCAUUAGCUAACUAGCUCUGCUCAAAUUGAUCGAGAGCUAGCUAGCUAGCUCUGCUUGAAUCCACACAGGAGCGAGCUAGCUAGCUAGCCUAGCUUGAAUCCAUCUAGGAGCGAGCUAGCUAGCUCCUCCGUCGCCGCGGGCUGCGGCCGGGGCGGACGACGCGGACGGGCCGCCGGUGCGAACGGACNNNNNNNNNNNNNNNNNNNNNNNNNNNNNNNNNNNNNNNNNNNNNNNNNNNNNNNNNNNNNNNNNNNNNNNNNNNNNNNNNNNNNNNNNNNNNNNNNNNNNNNNNNNNNNNNNNNNNNNNNNNNNNNNNNNNNNNNNNNNNNNNNNNNNNNNNNNNNNNNNNNNNNNNNNNNNNNNNNNNNNNNNNNNNNNNNNNNNNNNNNNNNNNNNNNNNNNNNNNNNNNNNNNNNNNNNNNNNNNNNNNNNNNNNNNNNNNNNNNNNNNNNNNNNNNNNNNNNNNNNNNNNNNNNNNNNNNNNNNNNNNNNNNNNNNNNNNNNNNNNNNNNNNNNNNNNNNNNNNNNNNNNNNNNNNNNNNNNNNNNNNNNNNNNNNNNNNNNNNNNNNNNNNNNNNNNNNNNNNNNNNNNNNNNNNNNNNNNNNNNNNNNNNNNNNNNNNNNNNNNNNNNNNNNNNNNNNNNNNNNNNNNNNNNNNNNNNNNNNNNNNNNNNNNNNNNNNNNNNNNNNNNNNNNNNNNNNNNNNNNNNNNNNNNNNNNNNNNNNGAGCUUCAUGGUCGGGCGGCGGCCGGGCGGCCGGGUGAGCUUCAUGGCCGGGCGGCCGGGCCGCGCCCGGCAAGCUUCAUGGCAUUGGGGGGGAGCAGAGAUUUUUCAACCGCCAACGUUGACUGGUAUGCAGGGCACUGAAAAAGUUACCUUCAAAACUGUAGAUAUGAGGGUUUCAUCUUCGCGUUUACGGGGCCCCUUAAAAAAAUUUAAGGGUCGGACGAUUUUAAGGGGUCUGUUCAGGCCCGUUUUUUUGAUUGAAACUGUAAAAAAAACGGUCAUUUUACGGGUUUGACCACUUAUGCGGGGUCUGCUAGAGAUGCUCUAAGUGCAUUAAAUACCUUAGCAACUCAAUUUCCUAAUGCACAGGUGCUUAACUUGUUGUUACUAAACAAACUUUAUUUAAUGAGUUAGCACCUAAAGAGUUUCAUGCAUUGGUCAAAUUGUUUCAUUUAAGUGGUUUGCCUAAGUUCUCGCGCUUGGCGUUGAUUCUUCCUGAGGUCACCAAAAUGUUCUCUCCCCUCCUUAAAUGUUGUGCCAUGUCAUUUUUUUUCUUACGUGGCAUGCUUAGCACCUGUCCAUGGUGGAGCACUAGGAAGGGCCGCACAUCUAUCAUUGUAGUUUUUAUUUUAUUAUGAAAAGCUCUGAAUAUGAGGGCUUUGAAGAGUCAUUUCCCAUAAAUGGCUUCUUGGUGAAAAACAAGGGAGGGGGUCUAUGAAGGUAUAUUCCAAAGUCCAUCGACAUUUUGUUGUUUUGUUCUUAUUUGUCCGCGUAAGUUGCAAGAGGUGUGUAAGAAGAUCCCACACUGGAGCGCUCCACUAGUGGCCUUCUUGAAGUUGCAUGUAUAUGAAGUGUUAAGAAGUCUAUCAAGGAGCUUUUGAAGGAUUUUGUCAAACAUGUGAGGUGUAUCAGAAUGGUGCUUCGAUGGCCGUCACCAGUAGUAUGAUUGGUCCGGUAACCUUUAUCCCUAGCUUAGGAGAUCAAUGGUCGCAAGUUGGUUACCAUGUCAACCUGUUAGUCAGAGUCAACAACACUUUGAUGGGCAGCCAAUAUGGGUAUAACUCGGUUCUUAUGGAGAUCAAGCAUGAGUCUACAUUUAAAAGUGAAGUGCAACAUAGAAUCACGUGUUAUGGUUAAGCAUCACAUUUGGCUGCUUUAGUCACUGAACAUCUGCACUGUACCUUUGAAUAUUUACCGAAAAAGGCUUUCGCCCCGCUUUAUAGAUAAAGCAAACGGCCCAAGCCAAACAUCCAACAAGGUUCACACACACAAGAUCCACAAACACACACAAAGUAGCAUACGGGGUUUAUAUAUGCUAAGGGCACAGCUCAACAAGCCCUGAAAUCCAAAACACAAACACAAGCACAACAGCACAUCAGCCCGAACAGCAGGCCUAAUCGGGCUCCGGAGGAGGGGGCGGCUAAGCGGCCGCCAAAGCUGCAGGUAACCACACAUUUUAAAGAUCGCGUCAGUCGCACGUCGAAGAGGCACUUUCUGAAUAACAAGCUUGUUGCGGAUGGUCCAAAGCGUCCAAGCGAGGACCCCAACGCACAACCAUCUAAUAUGGCGGGGGGGCGGAUACGUGGAUCUCAGCAAGCAGGUUCGGGAAGUUGGUGUUGCACCACUGUCCACCAACCGUCUCGCGAAAGCAAGACCACAGGAAUUGGGUUGUGGAGCAGGAGAAAAGAUGUGAUUAGCAUCCUCCACCGUGCCACAGAGGGGGCACACCCCGUCUCCUGGUCCAUUACGCUUGAGGACCUCUACCCCAGAGGGGAGGUGUCCCCGGAUCCACUGCCACAGGAAGAUCCUGAUCUUCAGAGGGAGGCGGAUGUCCCAAAUCAAGCUAAAGGGCUCAGGGGGCGACGAGAGAGCGAUAGCUGAAUAUAAGGACUUAGUGAAGAAGCGGUUGUUGGACUCUAGUUGCCAAGAGAUGGAGUCAGGGGCGCCCUCGACGUCCAAUGGCAGGAGGGCGAUGUCCUGGAGGAGAGAGUCAAUAAGGGUCGUCUCGACAGAGACCCUAGGGUCAACCGCUAUGGAGAAUAGUUCCGGGAAUCGAGCGACCAGGGGGAGUCCCCUACCCAACGAUCGAACUAGAAUAGGGUCAAGGAUCCGGAGCCAACCAAAAUGGACGUGCCGAUGAGGAGCACGGGUAGCAGUUGUAUCACAGCCUGCCAGAACUGGGAGCCACCAAAACGCUAGCAAAAAGCUAGAGGUUGGCCCCAAAGGUACUUAUUGCGGAUGAUGGUGAGCUAGAGUCCCCCUUCCCCAUUGGCGAUUCGCUAGAGCCAUCGGGUCAGGAGAGCAAUGUUCAUGCACCGAGAAGACAAGAUCCCAAGACCACCCUGGUCCUUAGGCUUGCAAAUGUCGGGCCAGCUCACCAUAUGGUAUUUCUGUUUCUCGCCCUCACUUGCUUAGAAAAACCUGGACUGGUAUUUGGCGAUCUCCUGAUGGAGAGUCUCAUGAAGGCUGUAGAAGCUCAUGAGGAACCAGAGGAGGCUGGAAAGCGAGGAGUUGAUGAGGAUCACUCUGGUUGCCUUCGAGAGCCACCUUCCCUUCCAUGGCUCCACCCGAUGCUGCAUCCGAGUCACCGAUGGGCGAAGAUCGGCCACGGUCAGUUGCGAGUCACUAAUGGGUAUCCCCAAAUAAGAUGUGGGGAAAGUACCUAGUUGACAGUUCAGCCGGUCGGCCAUGGCUUGGGCUUCCUCAGGAGAGUAACCUAGAAUCAUCACUUCGCUCUUAUCGAAGUUGAUUGUGAGCCCGAACAUCUGUUGGAAGCAUAGGAGGAGGAACUUCAGAUUAGCGAUGUCGGACGCGGAACCCUCCACCAUUAUUAUGGUAUCAUCUGCAUAUUGUAGGAGAGAGACCCCUCCCCCUCCUACCAGGUGAGGGACUACACAAUGGAUGUGGCCAGCAGAUUUGGCCUUAUCCCGGAUGAUGGCAAGGGCAUCAACCACCAUGUUAAACAGAAAUGGGGAGAAUGGGUCGCCCUAGCGAACCCCACAAAGUGUGAGGAAGUAUGGUCCGAUCUCAUCGAUAAUGUUAAUCACGGUCCGCCCGCAGAUGAUGAGCUGCAUAACUCUGGUCACCCACCGGUCAUCAAAGCCCUUGCGGAGCAAGACUUUCCGAAGGAAGGGCCAGUGAACCAUGUCAUAGGCUUUAUGGAAGUCGAGCUUUAGGAAGCCCGCUCGAUGGUGCUUGGACCGAACUUCAUGAAGAACUAUGUGGAAUACUAACACCCCAUCCAGAAUAAACCACGCUUGGAUGAAGGCGGGUUGGUUGGGGUGAGUAACGGUGUCAGCUAGAAGGGUCACCCUAUUGGCAUACCCCUUGGCCAAGAUCCGAAAUAUCACAUUGAUCACAGUGAUAGGCCGAAACUGGCGGAUGUCGGAAGCGCCCGGAACUUUGGGGAUGAGAGUAAUGACCCCAUAGUUCAGGCACCCAAGGUCCAUAGUCCCCGAGUAGGAUUCAUCAAAGAGGGCCAUGACUUCCGGUUUGAUGGUCUGCCAGAAAGUUUUGAGAAACAUCACAGACAGCCCAUCAGGACCCGGGGUAGAGGAGGGUUCAGGCCCUUUAUGGCCACGAGGACCUCGUCCUUGGAGAAGGGCGCCACCAGGACGACAUUCACCUCCUCAGAAGCUAACUGGGCAGCUGACCAAGUGUCGGGGGCCAGUGCAGCCCCACCCCUAGGGGUGGGGGAGAAUAGGGCCUUAUAAAAGCCAUCGACAUGGACUCGGAUGUCCGAAGGGCAAACGAGAGGGGUGUCGCCAUCCCACAAACAAUGGAUGGAGUUCCGACGCCUCCGCCCAUUGGCAAUUGCCUGGAAGUAUGCCAUAUUGGCAUCCCCACGAGCACCCACUGUUGGGUACUGCGGAGCCUCCAGCAUGCUUCUUCAUCCGUGUAGAUGGUCGAGAGCUGAUCCUCGAGAUCAUAUAUCAGCAUCCACUCAUCCGGGAAGAUCCCGGAUGUGUCCGCACGGGCGUCAAGGGCUUGGAUGGCAGUCAGGAGGGCUUUCUUGCGCUCGCGGAGGUUCCGGCCAAGGUCGCGCCCCCACCCCUUCAUAAAUUGGCGGGCGAGCUUGGCACAAAACUGCCACGAGUCAACAAUGGACAUGGAGCGGUGGGGAGAUGAUCGCGCGGAGACCCAUCUAGUCGCUACCGCCUCGACAAAACAUGCCUGGUUCUGCCAGAAGAGCUCAAACCGAGAUCGCGGCAGGGAGGGGGGCGCUUGUCGGAGGUAGAGAGGAGGAGAGGGACGUGGUCUGACCCGAUCCAAGUGACCGCUGAUACGUAACCAAUGUAUCUAUAAUUUUUUAUUAUUCCAUGCUGUUUUGUUAUCAAUCUUGGAUGUUUUAUAAUCAUUUUAUAGUCAUUUUAUAUCAUUUUUUGGUACUAACCUAUUAACAUAGUGCCAAGUGCCAGUUGCCGUUUUCUGCAUGUUUCUUACAUCACAGGAAAUCAAUAUCAGAAGGAGUCCAAAUGCCACGCCAAUUUACGAUGAUUUUUUAUGGACCAAAGGAAGAAGAUGGGCCCUGGUUGCACCUCGGGGGAGCCUCAAAGAGGGGACAACCCACCAGGGCGGGCCAGGAGGCCCAGGCGCGCCCUGGUGGGUUGUGCCCACCUCGGGUGCCCCCUGGACCGACUCUUUGCUCUAUAAAUACCCCAAUAUUCCAGAAACCCUAGGGGAGUUCUUUGUAGACCUUCGGGUCCGCAGUUAGUAGCUAGAUGGCUUCCUCUCUCUCUUUUGAUUAUCAAUACAAUUGUCUCUUGUAUAUCCAUAUGAUGUAAGUCCUUUUUGCGGUGUGUUUGUUGGGAUCUGAUGAACUUUGAGUUUAUGAUCAGUUAUAUCUUUUUAUAUCCACGAAAGUUAUUUGAGUUCUUUUAUCUCUUAUAGCCUCGUAUUUCUUCUCCGAUAUCUGGGUUUUGUUUGGCCAACUUGAUCUUUUUAUCUUGCAAUGGGAAAAGGUGCCCAGUAGUGGGUUCGAUCUUAUGGUACUUGAUCCCAGUGAUAGAAAGGGAACCAACAUGUAUGUAUUGUUGCUACUAAGGAUAAAAAGAUGAGAUCCAUAUCUGUCGCAAUAAAUAAACGGAUCUCGUCUACAUCAUGUCAUCGUUCUUAAUGCAUUACUCCGUUUUUCAUGAACUUAAUACACUAGAUGCAUGCUGGAUAACGCUCGAUGUGUGGAGUAAUAGUAGUAGAUGCAGGCAGGAGUCGGUCUACUAAUGUUGGACGUGAUGCCUAUGUAAUGAUCAUUGCCUGGAUAUCGUCAUGAUUAUUUGAAGUUCUAUAAAUUUCCCAAUAGUAAUUUGUUCACCCACCGUUUGCUAUCUUUUCGAGAGAAGCCACUAGUGAAACCUACAGCCCGGGGUCUUCUUUCUCAUAUAUUUGCCUUGCGAUCUACCUUUUCCUUGCAUUUAUUUUCAAAUCUAUUAAACUAAAAAUACAAAAAUACCUUGUUGCAAUUUAUUCUUAUUUAUUUUAUUUGGCGUUCGAUCUAUCAAUCUACUACAAAUUUACCUCACGUCCUUUGCCUAUCUUGAGGCAUCGUACCCCUAAAGGGUUUGACAACCCCUUUAACACAUCGGAUUGCGAGGUGUUGUUAUUUGUGUGCAGGGGCUGUUUACGUUGUGUUGCUUGGUUCUCCUACUGGUUCAAUAACCUUGGUUUCAUAUCUGAGGGAAAUACCUACCGCCUAAAGGAAAUAUGCCCUAGAAGCAAUAAUAAAGUUAUUAUUUAUUUCCUUAUUUCAUGAUAAAUGUUUAUUAUUCAUGCUAGAAUUGUAUUAACCGGAAACAUAAUACAUGUGUGAAUACAUAGACAAACAUAAUGUCACUAGUAUGCCUCUACUUGACUAGCUCGUUAAUCAAAGAUGGUUAAGUUUCCUAACCAUAGACAUGGGUUGUUAUUUGAUUAACGGGAUCACAUCAUUAGGAGAAUGAUGUGAUUGACUUGACCCAUUCCGUUAGCUUAGCACUUGAUCGUUUAGUAUGUUGCUAUUGCUUUCUUCAUGACUUAUACAUGUUCCUUUGACUAUGAGAUUAUGUAACUCCCAUUUACCAGAGGAACACUUUGUGUGCUACCAAACAUCACAACGAACUGGGUGAUUAUAAAGGAGCUCUACAGGUGUCUCCGAAGGUACAUGUUGAGUUGGCGUAUUUCGAGAUUAGGAUUUGUCACUCAGAUUGUCGGAGAGGUAUCUCUGGGCCCUCUCGGUAAUGCACAUCACUAUAAGCCUUGCAAGCAAUGUGACUAAUGAGUUAGUUGCGGGAUGAUGUAUUACGGAACGAGUAAAGAGACUUGCCGGUAACGAGAUUGAACUAGGUGUUAAGAUACCGACGAUCAAAUCUCGGACAAGUAACAUACUGAUGACAAAGGAAACAACAUAUGUUGUUAUGCGGUUUGACCGAUAAAGAUCUUCUUAGAAUAUGUAGGAGCCAAUAUGAGCAUCUAGGUUCCGCUAUUGGUUAUUGACCAGAAACGUGUCUCGGUCAUGUCUACAUAGUUCUCGAACCCAUAGGGUCCGCACGCUUAAGGUUUCGAUGACAGUUAUAUUAUGAGUUUAUGAGUUUUGAUGUACCGAAGGAGUUCGGUGUCCCAGAUGAGAUCGGGGACAUGAUGAGGAGUCUCGAAAUGGUCGAGACGUAAAGAUCGAUAUAUUGGACGACUAUGUUCGGACUUCGGAAAGGUUCCGAGUGAUUCGGGUAUUUUUUGGAGUACCCGAGAGUUACGGGAAUUCGCCGGGGAGUAUAUGGGUCUUAUCGGGCCAUACGGGAAUAGAGGAGAGAGGCUAAAAGGAAGGAGACGCGCAGCCCCCCUCUGGUCCGAAUUGGACAAGGGGUGCAGCCCCCUUUUCCUUCCUCCUCUCCUCCUCUUUCCUUCUCUCCUACUCCAACAAGGGAAGGAGGAGUCCUACUCCCGGUGGGAGUAGGACUCCCCCCUUGGCGCGCCUCCUCUUGGCCGGCCACCCCUCCCCCUUGCUCCUUUAUAUACGGGGGCAGGGGGCACCCCAUAGACACAACAAUUGAUCAUUGAUCUCUUAGCCGUGUGCGGUGCCCCCCUCCAUCAUAGUCCUUCUCGAUAAUAUUGUAGCGGUGCUUAGGCGAAGCCCUGCGACGGUAGAACAUCAAGAUCGUCAUCACGCCGUCGUGUUGACGGAACUCUCCCUCGACACUCGGCUGGAUCGGAGUUCGAGGGACGUCAUCGAGCUGAACGUGUACUAGAACUCGGAGGUGCCGUAGUUUCGGUGCUUGAUCGCUCGGGCUAUGAAGACGUACGACUACAUCAACCGUGUUAUUCUAACGCUUCCGCUUUCGGUCUACGAGGGUACGUGGACACACUCUCCCCUCUCGUUGCUAUGCAUCACUAUGAUCUUGCGUGUGCGUAGAUUUUUCUUGAAAUUACUAUGUUCCCCAACAGUGGUAUCAGAGCCUAGGUUUUAUGCGUUGAUGUUAUAUGCACGAGUAGAACACAAGUGAGUUGUGGGUGAUACAAGUCAUACUGCCUACCAGCAUGUCAUACUUUGGUUCGGCAGUAUUUUUGGAUGAAGCGGCCCGGACCGACAUUACGCGUACGCUUACGCGAGACUGGUUCUACCGACGUGCUUUGCACACAGGUGGCUAGCGGGUGUCUGUUUCUCCAACUUUAGUUGAACCGAGUGUGGCUACGCCCGGUCCUUGCGAAGGUUUAAACAACACUAACUUGACGAACUAUCGUUGUGGUUUUGAUGCGUAGGUAAGAACGGUUCUUGCUCAGCCCGUAGUAGCCACGUAAAAUUUGCAACAACAAAGUAGAUGACGUCUAACUUGUUUUUGGAGGGUAUAUUGUGAUGUGAUAUGGUCAAGAUGUAAUGAGAUAUAAGUUGUUGUCUGAGAUAAUCAUGUUUUGUUAAAGUUAUCGGUAACUGGCAGAAGCCUUAUGGUUGUCUCUUUAUUGCAUAAGAUGCAAGCGCCAAAUAAUUGCUUUACUUUAUCGCUAUGCGAUAGCAAUAGUUGGCGAGACGACCAUGUGACUACACAUUGAUAUAGAUCAAGAUGAUGGAGAUCAUGGUGUCAUGCCGGUGACAAUAGAGAUCAUGACAGUACUUCAAAGAUGAAGAUCACAAGCACAAUAUGAUGAUGGCCAUAUCAUAUCACUUAUAUUGAUUGCAUGUGAUAUUUAUCCUUUAUGCAUCUUAUCUUGCUUUGAUUGACGGUAGCAUUUUAAGAUGAUCUCUCACUAAUUAUCAAGAAGUGUUCUCCCUGAGUAUGCACCAUUGCGAAAGUUCUUCGUGCUCAGACACCACGUGAUGAUCGGGUGUGAUAGGCUCUACGUUCAAAUGCAAUGGGUGCAAAACAGUUGCACACGCGGAAUACUCAGGUUAAACUUGACGAGCCUAGCAUGUACAGAUAUGGCCUCGGAACACGGAGACCGAAAGGUCGAAUGUGAAUCAUAUAGUAGAUAUGAUCAACAUAAUAAUGUUCACCAUUGAAAACUACUCCAUCUCACGUGAUGAUCGGACAUGGUUUAGUUGAUUUGGAUCACGUGAUCACUUAGAUGACUAGAGAGAUGUCUGACUAAGUGGGAGUUCUUAAGUAAUAUGAUUAAUUGAACUUUAAUUUAUCAUGAACUUAGUCCUGGUAGUAUUUUGCAAAUUAUGUUGUAGAUCAAUAACUCGCAUUAUUGCUUCCCUAUGUUUUUGCUUCCCUAUGUUUUUAUAUGUGUUCCUAGAGAAAACCAAGUUGAAAGAUGUUAGUAGCAAUGAUGCGGACUUGGUCCGUGAUCUGAGGUUUUUCCUCAUUGCUGCACAGAAGAAUUAUGUCCUUGAUGCACCGCUAAGUGACAGACCUAUUGCAGGAGCAGAUGCAGACGUUAUGAACGUUUGGCUAGCUCAAUAUGAUGACUACUUUAUAGUUUUGUGCACCAUGCUUUAUGGCUUAGAAUCAGAACGUCAAAGACGUUUUGAACGUCAUGAACCAUAUGAGAUGUUCUAGGAAUUGAAGUUAAUAUUUCAAGCAAAUACCCGAGUUGAGAGAUAUGAAGUCUCCAACAAGUUCUAUAGCUAAAAGAUGGAGGAGAAUCGCUCAACUAGUGAGCAUGUGCUCAGAUUGUCUGGGUACUACAAUCACUUGAAUCAAGUGGGAGUUAAUCUUCCAGAUAAGAUAGUGAUUGACAGAGUUCUCUAGUCACCAUCACAAAGUUACUAGAACUUCGUGAUGAACUAUAGUAUGCAAGGGAUGACGAAAAUGAUUCCCGAGCUCUUCGUGAUGUUGAGAUCGAUGAAGGUAGAAAUCAAGAAAGAGCAUCAAGUGUUGAUGAUUGACAAGAACACUAAUUUCAAGAAAAGGGCAAAGGGAAAGAAAGGGAACUUCAAGUAGAAUGACAAGCAAGUUGUCACUCCCGUGAAGAAGCCCAAAGCUGGACCAAAGCCUAAAACUGAGUGAUUAUACUACAAAGGAAAUGGUCACUAGAAGCAGAAAUGCCCUGAAUAUUUGGUGGAUAAGAAGGAUGGCAAAGUGAACAAGGGUAUAUUUGAUAUACAUGUUAUUAAUAUGUACCUUACUAGUGUUUAUAGUAGCCCCUGAGUAUUUGAUACUUGUUCAGUUGCUAAUAUUAGUAACUCGAAACAGGAGUUACAGAAUAAAUAGAGACUAGUUGAGGGUGAAGUGAAGAUGUG